rnacentral:lncRNA from 1 species
ACAAUCGAGAUAGUGACACAAUAUGGCAUUGUCAGUUUGAGAAUGUUUUGUGAAUGUCUGCUAGAUUCCAGGUUGAAUAAUGAAAUCUCAAUAAGCUCGAUGUGGUGUAAUGUUGUACUUGUUUUGAUGCUUAUAUGCUUGUCUACUUGUGGCUCCUCCCUUGGAAAUGGUUUAAGGCAUUCUAUGAAAUCGUCCUGCUUUUGAUCAGUAAGAUUUAGGAUUUAAUAGGUGAAGAAGAUGGACAAAGGAUCAUGGUAAAAUCUAGAGAUAGAAAUGUACUUGUUGUCAUACACUCAUACUUAUGAUUCAUGGUUUAGGACACAUGUAGUUGAAGGCAUUUUUAUGAGAACUUGGACUAUUUUGCAAUGAUGGAGAAAGGGUAGACUUGAGCUGCUGUUAUAUUCUCAUCUCGGCAGAAAAGUUUAGAUUUUUCCAAGUUGCUGAAUGACUGUUAAUUGACUUGUUUCAUCGCCGCACUUAAUUCGAGUUGUAGGUUUCUUCAAUUCGAGCUAGCAAGUCAGAUGACAAGAGGCUGACAAUCUUCACAGGAACGAAGACGCUUCACUUACGCUGCAUCACUAGAGACGACAGAGCUUUAUGGCUCGAGGCAUUGCAGACGGCAAAGGAUCAUUUUCCACGAGUGUUGUCAAGCACUGAUUUCACCUCGGCUGAUGAUGUGAUUGUGUCAUCCGAGAAGUUGAGGUCUCGGUUAGUGCAAGAAGGCGUUGGUGAGGCGGUGAUUAAAGAUUGUGAGACUAUUAUGCUCUCGGAAUUCUCUGAGCUGCAAAACCAGUUGAGGUGCCUUCAACGGAAGCAUCUUAUCUUGUUGGAUACCUUAAGGCAGUUAGAGGUGUGACUUUGUUUUCUCAAGUUAUGUAUUCAUGUCUUUUUUUUUCCGUGUCUUUUUGUUGGCUUGAAUGUGAUGAUUUAUCUAUUGUCAUUGUUGUGUAUUAGACAGAGAAAAUAGAAUUGGAAACUACUGUAGUGGAUGAGACGAAGGAGCGGGACUCAUAUUGUGGACAAGCAAACAGAAGAUUCAGUGGUCAGUAUAAUCUUCUUAAUCCAGAUCUUUUCCAUGUUAUCACAGCAGUUCGUAUGUUAUUAGCUAAAUUAGGAUACUGUGGAGCCGAGAUAACUAAUAUGGCCAGACUGCAACUGAAGUUCCUUGACGGUCGGCCUAUUUAUCUACAUGUUGAUAAGUUGUUAUAAUUCCUUGUAGGGUGAAGUGCCAUUCUUAGCAUCAUAGCUUUGCUUCAGGUUCAACUGUUGGAUUUCUAUAGUAAUCAGAACUUUUAGAUAUUUGCUGAUACAUGUGUUUUACGUGUUCCUAGAUUUCUAUUCUGUAUUGUCAGAAGGCAGUGUUAGCGACUCUGACGCAGACAACGAAAGUCAAGAUGGGGUUGACGCUGAAACUGAUGAAGAAGACAAGACGUUCUUCGACACAAACGAUUUCUUGUCAGCUGAAGCAUUGCGGAGCGCUUCGUACAGGAGUAGGGAAUCAGUGGGAAGUGCGUGUAUAUAUGACAAAGACGCGUUUUACUCCGAUCGUCUGCAGCAUGAGAAAGACAUCACGACAGCCAACUAUCCGUUAGUUCGAAGGCGCGACAAUUUGCCGGAACCAAAGGAGAAGGAGAAGCCUGUUGGUCUGUGGUCGAUUAUCAAGGACAAUAUCGGGAAGGACUUGUCUGGAGUCUGCCUUCCCGUGUACUUUAACGAACCACUCUCCUCGCUACAGAAGUGCUUCGAGGAUUUGGAAUACUCGUACCUGGUCGAUCGAGCAUUACAAUGGGGGAAACAGGUCAGAUCCCCUUUAAAAUGGAUGAAUACAUUUUACAUUCUUCUUCAGUUUGAUAAUUACUUUGGCUGUGUAGGGGAAUGACCUGAUGCGAAUUCUGCAUAUUGCGGCAUUCGCUGUAUCUGGAUAUGCAUCGACUGAAGGCCGCCAGUGUAAGCCGUUCAACCCUCUACUGGGGGAGACGUACGAAGCUGAUUAUCCAGACAAAGGUCUACGUUUCUUUUCCGAAAAGGUUAGUUUCGGUUCGUGUGAUUUGGAACAGAGGUUUUUUUUUCAUUCAAUUUGCAUUGAUGAGUUUCUUGUGAUCAGGUUAGCCACCACCCGAUGAUCGUCGCGUGUCACUGUGAGGGAAAAGGCUGGACAUUCUGGGGAGACUCGAAUCUCAAGGGCAAGUUCUGGGGAAGAUCUAUCCAACUCGAUCCCGUAGGCAUACUUACAUUGCAGUUUGAGGAUGGCGAGACUUACCAAUGGAGCAAAGUUACGACGUCCAUAUACAACAUCAUUCUAGGAAAACUGUACUGUGAUCACUACGGCACUAUGCGGAUCAAAAGCAGCGGCAACUACUCGUGCAGGCUCAAGUUCAAGGAGCAGUCCAUUAUCGACCGAAACCCCCAUCAGGUAGCCCUUGCAUUUUCUUUGAAAACUAAUGGCUAGUUAAGUUAAGCACGUGUAGAACUGUAGUAAUGAGUUCUAAGUAUUUGUUCAGGUUCAUGGGUUCGUACAGGACGACAGAACUGGACAGAAGGUGGCAAUGCUGGUGGGGAAGUGGGACGAAGCGAUGUACUAUGUUCUAGGCGAUCCAACGACAAAGCCAAAGGGUUACGACCCAAUGACAGAAGCAAUCUUAUUAUGGGAGAGGGACAAGUCGGUUACCAAAACCAGAUACAACCUCACACCCUUCGCCAUAACCUUAAACGAGGUUACUCCCGGAUUGUUGGAGAAGUUGCCACCCACAGACUCCAGACUUCGACCGGAUCAAAGGUUCCUCGAAAACGGGGAGUAUGAGUUGGCGAAUGCGGAGAAGUUGAGACUCGAACAGCUACAAAGACAGGUUUCUUUUUCCUCCCUCCAUCCCGAUCGAAUAAUUCUUUCAAUUCAUGACCAUCCCUUUGUCAUGUGAUGCCAGGCGAGGAAGGUACAAGAAAGGGGAUGGCAGCCACGUUGGUUCCGACGAGACCACGAUUGUUGCUACAAGUACACGGGAGGCUACUGGGAAGCUAGGGAAAGAAAGGACUGGGAUGGGAUUCCGGACAUCUUCGGGCAAACCAUGGCUCGAGCAACCGAUUCACCAUCUCCUUCGGCUGAAGAAGACUUAGGAUAGAGGCCUCGUCUGCGUGUGUUUCAUAUAUAUGUAUCAUUGACUCUCCUUUAAGUAGUUGCACAGUUUGGUCGGAUGGGAAAGCUUAAUUAAACCAAACAAUACAAAGGCCCUCAUGUGAAUAGUUUGAGCUGAUAAUAUUAUAGUUGCCAUCUUUAGAAAUUUCGUAACUAAUUCAUAAAACAUCAAUGCAUAAUUUAGACUACCAAAUAAAACUUUCAUGAUCGUAUUAUAGUUCUUGACGGACAAAAUUGUUCAGGUCGGAGCUGGAGUCUUACUUCCAAGCUUUCUUUCCACGGAACUGCUUGCCCAAACGAUCGCUCUUCUUUAGUUUAUUUGCUCGGUUUCUGACGAUUGUUGAACGUUUUGCGGCCAGUGGCAUCUUCUUCUUGUGGUUCUUCUGCUGAUUGCUUAGACCUCCGGUCUGCACGAAAAAUGUAACAGUAUGGUUACUUGGCACAAUUUAAACGACAGAAAAGGCAGGAUAUAAACUCGGAGAUAGUAUGCAAACCUUGUUCUUUUUAAUAGCACUACGAGCUUGGUACUUUCCUCUAUCUUCCCUCCCGGCCUUCACGAGUUCUAGUCUUUCUGUCUUGUUCAUUUUGUGCCGGAUGUGAGCCUGUGAUAACGAGCAAGUUAGACUAACUCGCUAUCGAAAUAUCAAGGCUUAUAACUAUGCUCAUGUGAACUGAGUAUUAGCUUCGGUCUUACCUCAAGCUUGGAAGGAUCCAUAGGCUUCAUAGAUAAUUGGUCAGAUGAUGGAAGCUUGAAACCAUGUCGAAUCAGCACAAUACUGGCCUCCUUUUUCGCCUGCAAAGUAAAUAAAUGCAUACAAAACAAGUUAGCUAGGUUUUGAUUCGAAUAUCGAAUCUAUUCUAUUCUAGUAAUCCUCCAGCCAAAAUACCUUCAGUUCCCUAAUCCUUUUGAAAUCCUCUUGAGAAUAGAAACCAUCUCCCGGAUCUGAUGAAGGAGAUCUCAGAUUCUCCUCUGCUAGUUUUUUCAAAGCUCGAAGGCUUGUGUCGGCUGCAAUAAGCUCUCCGUUGAAAUCCGACCGCUUUCUCUUAUUCGAUUUAGAUUUGCUUACUUCGACCUCAUCAUCCGCUUCCUCUGGGUCACUAGACUCUUCUUCAUCUUCUCCCUCAUCCUCGUCAUCAUCUUCCUCCUCUCCGUCAUCUUCCCCACUGCCGAUUUCAUCCACAUUGUCGUCACUACCGUCAUCCAAAUCAGCUCGUAAAUCGUCAUCAUCACUUCCAUCUUCCUCGUCAUCCUGCACAGCAUUUUCCUCAUCAUCGCUGCCAAACAAUUCGUCAUUACUGGCAUCAUCAGGACAAGCAUCUGACUGAGAAUCGUCUCCAUCAUCUUCAGCGUCUUCAUCACUCUCGGUAUCAGCAGCCUCGUUUAGUAAUUCAAUUCCAGGAACAGCACUGGCUACAGGAGGAGCUUCUCCAUAAGCUUUCGGCUUUGCCUUUGGGUCUAUGGGUCGACCUCUAUCCUUCUUAACCAACAAUGAAGGGCAGAUCUGGAAAAUAGAUGAAGUAGAAAGAAAAGAAGAAUCAGCCAUCUCUCCAAGCAUAUUAGAUGGAAUAGAGUUAGCAGCAUGUUUUUCAUACCUCUCUGAAUAAGACCAUGAGUGAUCGAGCAGCUGCAGAAACAGCUUUCUCGUGUUGUUUCUUGUAUAACACGAGAUCCUGGAGCAAGUCUUCAGUCAUCAACUACACACCAAUGCGAAAAAUCAGUUUUACCCAUUCCUGCUGAGAUGCAAAGUCAAGAUCUUGACAGUCAAAUAGGGAAAGAAAACUUACCAAAGGAAUUCGCAGACAUAUUUCCCUGAUGACAUUAAGUCCAACAGCAAUGGCCUAAAGUAACAUGGAAUAAUCGAUGAUGCUAAGAAGUUUCAUGUACAGCCAAACUAAAAUUCAAAUCUGACAAAGAUAAUACCUCUGGACGGGAAUGAUCAUGUACAAACUGAUUAACGAUUUGUCUAAAUAAAGGUUCAACUGCAUCAGGAGGGACCUGUACAGAAACAAAAAAAAGUUGCACAUAUUAGAGAUUACGAAUAUCACAAGAAACGUGUUCUUGGAUCGGUUGUUAAUAUAAAUCUAUAUUACCAUAUCAUGACAAGCCUGAACCGCUGCGGCAAGCAAACUAGUGACAUCUCUUUGAUGUGGCUGAAGAAAUUCAGACGACCUCUGUUAACAUACCGUACCAAUUAUGGCAGAAAGAUUUCAAUGAAGGGACCCUAGUUAACUAAUUACCUGGCAAUACUUUUGCAGGAAAGGAUAGAAGUUCAACAAGAUCAAAUGGUGCAGCCCAAUAGUUCGAGCAAUGACUUUCAUCAGCAUCAUUUUAACCUGAGAUCAUAAGCAGAUCAUCAACACAAUGUUUUUAUCAUUUAUUCACUCCAUUGUAUAACUACUCUCUUUCCACUAUCUCCCGUUUUAGUCUUUUUUUCUUAGAAUCAUCAUGUUUCAGUGAAGUAGAACUUGAGUCUGAGUAAUCCCAGUAAUCACAAUUACCUCAAAACGUUCAUUGCAAGUCUUGAGACGAGAGAACAGUUUCUCGGCAAACCCCUGCAACAAAAUCAAAACUUCACUUAAGCCAGCUAUCUGUUUUCUCAAAGGAGUGAUGCAACAGGAAAGGAAAUAACCUGAGCAUCCUUGAGAUGGUUAAGAGGUGAAUAAUAAUUGGAACUGGUUUUCUCUGAUGCCAAGCGCUGCUGCCUUUUCAUGCUACGGACAGCACGCUCCAACUUUGCUUUCUUUUUCUUCUUACUAGCUGAAGUACCCGUUUUGGUUGCCUGGAAUGUAACUCAACAUAAUCAAGCUCUGAGCUUAUUAUCACAAACUAAUUGCAGUCUCACAAAUGGUCCAUGACUAUUGUAUACAAAAUCCAACAUCAUAAUCUAAUAAGCAGCUAACCUUAUAAAUAGCCUCUUUAUUAAUGGCAACUUGAGCAUGAAGCGGAUUGGCAUCAUCGUCGCUGCUCAUAUCUUCACUGUCACUGUUGUGAUCAUCUUGUAUCUUCUCAAAAUCCAAUACGAACGACAAAGCAGCAAUCAUGAUCCUAAGAAUACCAAGAAACGACUCACCCAGUCAAUAAUUCAAUAUUAUCAUUUAUACAUAUACAUCAGGGGGGAAAGAAAGGUACAUACCUUGAUGAAGAAUGGAAGCAAGCCAUGCAAAUCGCAUUAGCAGUUCUAUCAUCAAACCAAACCUUUCUCCUAUGAAGCUCACACAGUGUAAUGAGCGCUCUUUUCGCCAGAGAUUCAUCCUCUUGCUGUUGAAACGCACAAAUACACACUAAGCAUUCAUCCAAACAAUCCCACAACUAACUGAUCAGCUUCUUCAAACAGAGAAUAAGAACAAACCUGCAACAUUGUAAAGAGGAUAUUCUGAAGAGCACGAUUCUUGGCUUCGUUCUUAUGCUUCUUAUUCAUUCUCUUAAUACUAUUGACAACAUGAGAGAAAGCCAAAUUCCUCAAGUUCUUAUCUCCAACAAUUUGAAGCUCCAUAAACAACGCCAAAGCAUCCUUUAUAUCAACCAUCUGCCAAACCAAACAGGUAAAAAAAAACUAUGCACGCGCACAAAAAGAUGAAGCGAAUCAAUUAGCUGAAUGAAAUCAAUUCAGCACCUGUCGGUUGACGAGGAGAAUGAGAGCUUGAGUGGCGUUGCCCCUGAGUCCAAACGGCAGCGACCUGGCCGACGAUUUCAGAAAAUCGACGAGCUGUCCGGGGAACUUGGUGAGCUCCUUGGAGUAAAACGGCGCAACGUGAGAGAGGAACAUGGUGCGGUCGCCGAGCUCCUUGGCGAUGGUAGGGUCGGCGCAUACACCGGAGGCGGAGGCGAAGCUUAGAGCUGCCUGCUGCUGGAAUAGCUCGAGGGCGCAGUUGAACUGGCUGUAGAUAAGUGCCAGCUCCGUCGUGUAUCCUUCCGGGUCGAUCUUCAUCUUUGGUNNNNNNNNNNNNNNNNNNNNNNNNNNNNNNNNNNNNNNNNNNNNNNNNNNNNNNNNNNNNNNNNNNNNNNNNNNNNNNNNNNNNNNNNNNNNNNNNNNNNNNNNNNNNNNNNNNNNNNNNNNNNNNNNNNNNNNNNNNNNNNNNNNNNNNNNNNNNNNNNNNNNNNNNNNNNNNNNNNNNNNNNNNNNNNNNNNNNNNNNNNNNNNNNNNNNNNNNNNNNNNNNNNNNNNNNNNNNNNNNNNNNNNNNNNNNNNNNNNNNNNNNNNNNNNNNNNNNNNNNNNNNNNNNNNNNNNNNNNNNNNNNNNNNNNNNNNNNNNNNNNNNNNNNNNNNNNNNNNNNNNNNNNNNNNNNNNNNNNNNNNNNNNNNNNNNNNNNNNNNNNNNNNNNNNNNNNNNNNNNNNNNNNNNNNNNNNNNNNNNNNNNNNNNNNNNNNNNNNNNNNNNNNNNNNNNNNNNNNNNNNNNNNNNNNNNNNNNNNNNNNNNNNNNNNNNNNNNNNNNNNNNNNNNNNNNNNNNNNNNNNNNNNNNNNNNNNNNNNNNNNNNNNNNNNNNNNNNNNNNNNNNNNNNNNNNNNNNNNNNNNNNNNNNNNNNNNNNNNNNNNNNNNNNNNNNNNNNNNNNNNNNNNNNNNNNNNNNNNNNNNNNNNNNNNNNNNNNNNNNNNNNNNNNNNNNNNNNNNNNNNNNNNNNNNNNNNNNNNNNNNNNNNNNNNNNNNNNNNNNNNNNNNNNNNNNNNNNNNNNNNNNNNNNNNNNNNNNNNNNNNNNNNNNNNNNNNNNNNNNNNNNNNNNNNNNNNNNNNNNNNNNNNNNNNNNNNNNNNNNNNNNNNNNNNNNNNNNNNNNNNNNNNNNNNNNNNNNNNNNNNNNNNNNNNNNNUGGGGGGGGGGGGGAAAAAACCCCGCCGUUAUGAACUGUAAAGCCCUAAAUGAGAGGUUUUUAGCUUUGAGCUGGUAGCUCUGGUAAACUACACGAUUGGCACCCAAAAACUAAAGUAUUUCUCAAAUUAGUCACUGUUGUUUUUUCUCUUAUCAGGUUAUAUAGAAGAACACCCGCCAUGUAUACACACUUUUAUAAAAACAACAAUAGUCACAAAUUAGUCACUGUAAGAUUGUAUGCACUUCUAUGCAGGUUCUGUACGUAUCCUAUUCGAAAAGGGGGAAGGAUAGGCAAUGCUCGACACGAUACGAUAGAUAGAGCAUUGUAGUUGUGAUCGAGUAAUCUAAAAAAUCGGAAGUUCAGGAGGUUGGGAUACGAUUAACAAGCCGCAAGGUUGAUAUAAUUGGAUGCAAGCCAAUAUUAAGAAUCCGCAAUAUAAACAAUGUUUUGUUAGAACAGAUGAGAAGAUUCCAAUGUUUGUCUCAUUCUCUAACUAUAUUGUCGGAAUCUAACUUUCAUGUUCUACUACGAAAUUGUUCGAUAUUGUUUAUGCACUUUUUUUAACUUUAUGAGACGUUACACAUAAAACGCCUAGCUAAGAUUUCAACUUACGAGACUGCAGAAGACCUCAACAGGGAAGGAGAACCUAGUCGAAAUACAUUUUUUUGAAAAAAACAUUAAUACUUGUAAUGAUGGCAAAAUACAGAAACUAGCAGCAAAAAUACAUGUACUAGUAUCAAAAUACAAGCAUUAUUUUUCAUAACUUUCUUACAGUACAAAGAGAACUCUAAAUAGCUACAAACUAAUCCUUAACCGUAGAGCCAAGAAGAAAGGUUGAUCGAUCACCGAUGGCGGUCUUGGAAGAUACAUAAGAGCCUUGUUUGCAAUCGAAUGGGCGUCACCCAUUCGCCGAACUUCGAGACUGCUGCUUUGAGGUGAAUUCAAGCACGGCACUGAUUUCAGCAAGAAUAGUUCCAAUUAGAUGAAUUGCAAUCCUGACAUAGUAAGAUACAGAGCAUACAGACUAAAGGUAGUGUUCACCUGAAUUAGUAGUUUAAACUUUAAAGUGCAGGAAGAGUUGGCCAUGGUGGAAGAGACAACGUUACAGUAUUCAACCAGGGGCACAUUCUAUCGGACGACACUUCCAUCACUUCCAUCGUCCGAUCUCGAAAAUUGCACUUGAGGAACGAAGAAUUAAUGCUCAUAUACGCGAUCAUCGGAUCGCUAGGGUGCAUAGUCAAGAACCGGAUAGAUGGCUGACCAUAACCAGACGGGGUACCAGUCCAGUCAGUGCCAUUCCUUACACCAUCCAGUAGCUGCUGCUGCACUGAACUUGAACUACAGUGCAUCUCAUUGCAAGCAUCGACAUCGUGCUCUAGACCCCACAUGCCAUUUACGAGCCUGAACACCCUCACACAUCCGUUCAAAGUUUGACCUAUCCAAAAUGAUCCUUGGCAUACGAUAAGCCUGUCAAAUCCCACCCAAUGCCUAGUCGUACCUCGAGGGAUGUACAAUCUUUCUGCAGGAGGACCAUUGGCAACAUGCUCUCUGAGAAGCUCGUUAGUCUCAGGAUCAUAGAUCAUAAAGUCACAGUCAUGUAGGAGCCAAUAUAUCUUCCCCUUGUGCGAAACCGGGGGACAAUGGAUACAAACGACACUUCCGAUGUCGUCCGGUAAUUCCAAGGUAGACCAUCCUGUCUUUGAUAAGAACACCUCUGCUGAGAUCUGCAGAGGGUCGCCAUCUCGUUGAGGAUCAGUUAACAGCAGACGAACAAGCUUUAAACCAAACCGAUCAUUCACAAUGGAAUCAUUGACGUUGUAGAACGAAUCACAAAUAAACCCCACACCAAUCGUAUAUUUUUGCUACGAGGAGGAAGCGGGACGGCAAGCCACUGCCUAGUGAGAGGGUUGCAUAUGUAAUACUCGGUAUACCUCAAGUUGUUUGGGGAGCAUACUAGCAAGCCAUUGUUAGAUGCUAACAAGACCUUGCAAAGAAUCAAUAUCUCUUUCGUAGAAGAAACCAACUCAUGAAAGAAAGGGAGGAAGUCCAGUGAGACUUGGGAAGCACUAACAGAAAUGCUGCAGGAAGGUUGUACCAGAAUCAUUUCAUUUCGAUUCGUCACCACAGGGAUCAUCUGUUUCUGCUGCAGAUCACCAUUCUUUUCCUCAUUCCAUUGAACAAAUCGGCCUACGAAACACGAAUCUUUGUCCUGUAUACACGAGAGCCACAGCGUGAAAACGGACUUGCAUUGGAACACAUGCCUCAACGGGAGCCUAGCAAGAACUUCCACCAGUAAAUGAAGUGACAGAACAUCGUUGAUGCACAACGAUGGUGAUAAUCCAGCCAUUGAUGGAGAAAAAAGUCCCCAAUCUUCUUCCGGCAUUCAAUUUUAGCUAAUCCUAGUCAGUUGAUUAUGAAGUCAGCCAUCUUUUCGUGAGUAAGCUUCUAAAACCCUAAAAGUGAAACUACCGAUUAACAAACAAUCAGCAAGUAAAGUCCAACAAAAUCAAACCUAGCGAUAUGGUUCCAACAGAUUGCAAAUUACCAAUGAUUGAAGUAAACAGAAAAGUAACUUACAGCUAGACUGAAGAAGCUUCGACGGGAAGGGUGUAGACGGCGGUUUUGGGAGUUUACCGGAGAAGGAACGGCGUGUUGGGAAUCCGGGGGAUGAUGAAACGAAAACUGAGCAAAUAUUUUCCCCUUGAUAUUUUAAACGAAAACAUUAACAGAUAUCAAACUUUAUGGGCCUCAGAAUUCAUUUCGGCCCAGUCACUAAAUAAAGCAGGCCUGUAAAAUCAACCCAUUAGCGGAGUGGAAACGACACGUCGUUCCAACGGGUCGCCGGAUUAUCUACUUCACCCAAGUCAAAAUCGCCCGGGAAAAUUGGAAAAAUCCCCUUCGCCGCCGCGAAGCCGCUAAAAAAUGAACCUCCAAUGCUUAACCACCAGAACGGCAACCACCGCCGCCGCUAUAACAAACUGCCGGCAUCAAUUCAUCUGCCAAAUCUCCACAAACUCCCCGGUCAGUUUCCAUGCCACCGCUACUUGAAAAUCUCAAUCUUUAUGCCCCCUUCCCCACUUCCAAUUGGCCUUCCAAUUUCUAACAAUUUCCGCCGUUAGGGUUCCGGCGAAGAACUCGUUUCGAAGCUUCUCAAUAGGAAAUGGGCGUUAGGGAAUCCGGGUUCAGCGUUCCAUCGAAUCCAGCUCUCCCCUUCGCCUCAAUUGUCCCGCAGUUGUAGUUUAAGCUUAUCAGCUGGAGAACCGGGAGUCGAAAAUAAGCGUAAAGGUCCCUCCUUUUACGUUGUUCGUGACGAUUUGCUGCAUCCUCUGGCCAACGGAAACAAGGCCAGGAAGUUAGACGCCCUGAUCCCUCUCCUCCGUGCCAAUUCCGUCACCGAUGUGGUGAGUAAUAUUAGAAUUGCUUAAUUGUUGCGCGUCAAUAGUGAAAACUGAGUAAAUGUUGAACAAUUUCCCAGGUCACAUGUGGAGGAUGCCAGAGUGCACAUACUGCAGCUGUAGGUAAACUAACACUAAUCCUAACUGGUGGACAUUCAGAGUUAUGUUUAGGCUGUCUGAAAUGUGCUUUGUGAGGAUUGUUUCUUUUGAUUCUGCAGCUGUUUUGUGUGCUGAAAGAGGGAUAAGGUCACACCUGCUAUUGAGAGGGGAGCAGCCUGGGAUUCUGACUGGUUAUAAUCUCAUCUCCACAAUGUAUGGCCAUGUCACUUACGUGGCGAGAUCGGUGUAUGCAGAUAGGGAAGCUAUGCUGAAGAGCCAUGCUAAUAUGGUUGCUGGUAGCAGUGGUCGUGUGCUGCGGUGUAGCGAUAUCUCGGAGGCUUCUUUCGAAAAUGAGCAAUCCAGGGAGGACGAAUGUCCAAGAAAGGUUUUGAUUAUCAAUGAAGGAGCCGGUGAUGGUGUAGCAUUGCUUGGUGAGUGGUAAAUGUUCCUAAUUCCUCUGUGUUUGUUGGUUCACCAGUUAGUCCAGAAGUUCUUCAGUUCUUUAGGCUUUGAGCUUGUUUCACAUUGUCCAUUCUGUUAAUGAAUGUUAAACCAGUUUGUGAACUUCUCACAACAACUCGAGUUAUUGGAGUGCAAUGAUUCUCCUCAUCCAUGAAAUGCUUAAAGCCUUUGAUUUUAGCUGUAAAGUUGAAAUCUUAUGAUUAUUUAAACCACUAACUAGCACCGUGUGUUCCAUUUUUCUGCAGGUCUAAUCCGCUUGGUCAACUACCUAUCUCAGGAUCAUCUAUUAGGAAAAUGCAGACCGGCAACUUUGAUCGUAGACUCCGGAACUGGCACAACAGCUAUUGGUUUAGCACUUGGAGCCUUAUGCUUGAGGUACAUCUCAAUCUUUCCAGUUUCCCAUCGUGUUCCGAAACAUGUUACUUACAAUCCGCCACAUUACUUAAAACUCACAGACUUCCAUGGAAGGUAGCUGCAAUCAUGCUAGCCGAUGCAAUCGACCAACACAAAGUCAAGGAGAACCGUCUUCUCUCCGAAUUCAGUACACGUUACGAAGUCCAUCUUGACCACAACGAUCUCGAGGGACUCGUUCAUUGGGUUCCGCGGCAGCGUCCGAGAAAGUAUGUACACGCAACUCCUGUCACUCAUUGAUCACAUUCAUUGAUGGUUUGUUUACAUUCUAUUUUGUACAGAUUUGGGAAGAUAUUGGAAGGGGAGAUGGAGAAAUGCCAGGCGAUUGCGAGGCAAACCGGAGUUCUGGUUGAUCCUGUGUACACUCUGGCAGCCUGGGAAAUGGCGGCUCAACUUAGCACGGAAGAAGAAGAGGAAGAGAGGGUGGUGGUGAUGAUUCAUACAGGGGGGACUCUUGGUUCGUUUGGUUUGGCACAGAGAUACAAGUCUCAGUUUGCUAACCUGUAGAGUGUUGUAUUAGAAUUCUAUCUGAAGAACACAGUAAAUGAGCUUGGAUAUGGAGAGGAAUGCCUGCAUGGGCUUGAAUUCUUUCUUUCACAAUCUGCCAUGGAUCAUGACAAGUUAUCGUAUGGGGAAAAAAUGUAAAGUUUAUUGAUUCGUAAAACCUUAUUAAUUAUGGUAGUACACUACGUUUUUUAGUUUUUCCAUUGCAGAUCGAUGUGGUUGUGAACUUUAGACAAUUUCGAAGCAACCUUAUAAGAAGUUGGAAAUUCUAAAUUGACGGUCUGGUCUGGAGGGUCGAGUCUCGAGACACUAUAAAGAGCAGGCCCGUCCAAUGACAUUUGUUGGUCUACCGAUCAGCACAGGAUUUCAAUUUUAAAAGGACCUCCAAAUUUAUCAUGAUUUAAUAUUAGAUAUAAACUCAAUAUCUAACCAACCCAUUUUUUAAACUGAAAAUGGUCAAUGAACGUCCCAGCUCUGGUAAAUAGUCGAUGGGCCUCCACAUUUUAUGUCAUAUAUGCCCAAUUUAGUUUUUUCCUUUUCUGAAUUCCUAUUUUUUAUUUUCUUUUAAGUGUUUUAUUUGGGGAACAUAGUUAAUUAUUUUUUGACAGAAAGUAAAUAAGUUGUUUUUUUCUCAAUGAGAUAUGAAGGUCAAUAUACCAUAGAAAAAAAGAAAAUAAAUAUUUUAAUGGUGUUUAUAUGUGACGUGUGUUAGAUUUAAAUUCAAAAUUUAUUGAUUAGCGAUACAUAAUUUUAUCACUAAAACAACUCUAUUUAAAUAGAAAAUAAGCAAUUCAAUGAUCGGAAGCAUAACUCAUUUCUAUUUUAGUGUUUUUUUCAUUCUUCUUUGUGUCCGAAAAAAUUUGAAUUAAAUCAUUUUUAGGGUCACAUACAAAUUUUGGCACAGGACUUCACAAAAUCAUUAGAUGGUUCUGAUAAAGAAGUCUAAGGUUCUUUUUUCAAGGCACACCUGCCACACACACAAUCAUUUCAAAGGCUACUCGUCAUUGGAUAUAAAAUUUGUAUGAGAUAAAUUAAACACAUUUCCGUACUUUUAAUAAAGGAAUUACUACAUAUCAAUAAAUCGCAACUUUUUAAAGAACAUAAUGAUACAAUCAAACAAGAAGACUAGUUUUAGAAUCAUUGUUUUUGGUGUUUCAAGAACAAGAUGGUCAAGACUCAAAUGAGAGAGAACCCCCCAUAUGAAUGACCAAAGUGAACCUUUGAGACAGUUUUAAUUGAUCUCCUCACAUUUCUAGUAUAAAAGGGAAGCUGGUGCAUCCCAUUUCAAUCAUCCCUCUCUUUUUCCUUCCUGACUUUUUGUACUCUUUUCUUUUAGUAGUGUUGUAGUGUAGCACUUUUCAUUUGUUUAAUAAUUGAGAUAAGUUAUCUCAAUUGGGUAGAUAGAUGAGUGAUAGAAAGUCUCGGUAACUAUUUUACUGUGGUAACAAUUGGUUAUGACAUUCAACUAGUUGAAUCCCCAACUAAUUUCCAUAUGCACUAAAUUGAAGAUACUAAUUGUUUUAUUAUUAUUUUAUUUCAUUAAUUUCCCCGAAACCAACAGAUUUCAACAUCUAUAUAACCCUUUCGUUGGUCCGAAUUAGUCGUGCAGAACUGAUAUGGAAGCAUCAAUAAUUUUGCUACAACAUGCAUGAGAUCCUAGGAUGUAAAGACAAGGACAUAAGUAGUGAACACACUCUUUGUAAAAUUAUUUGCCCUGAGACAAUUAAAAUUCCUUAUUUCGAUAUUUUUGACACAUAAAAUUAUUUUGUAACAAAAAAACUGUAUCUAGGAUGCAAAUAAAUGUAAAUAUGGUGCUUUGUAGUCCAGCACUAACAAUAGAGGUUGAAAUCUCUAUUUGGCAAAGUCUUGACGCUCGAGUUCAAGUCAGGCAUGUCAAGAAGUGAAUAGGUCUCCUAAGAUGUAAACCUAUCUUAAAAUAAAUAAACGUCAACCGAUAUAAAUCUCAAGUUAAGUAGGGUAAAUAAGAACACAUAAUUAAAAUCAUAAAAUAACAUUGGUUCAAACUUUUAAAGACAGAAGAAAGUAAACAAAGGAAUAAGGAAGGGGGUGUAUACUGUAUAUUGUAUGUAUGCAUGUAUGACUGUAUAGUGUCUAAGCUUUUGGGAGUUGGCCCAUGAAUUCAUGUGUAGACAGUGGGGUACAAAGCUAGUAGCCAACAACACUACACAACAUAGUUAAAACUAUUUAAAGUGAUUAAGGUUGUGCAUGUGACAAUUGUUGUGGCAUUAUUACAUGUCUAUUAAUUAAUUAUAUAUGUGGGUUUUCUCACUACAAUCUUCUCUCAUUUAUCAUAAAAUCCCCUAAAUUAAUUAGAUUAGAACUCCACCAAAAGGGCAAUCAAAAAGGUGUGGUGUAUUUGUUUAUGUACAAAAUGAGAGAUUGUGAACGAUAAGUUGCUAGCUAGCUAGGGUUUCAAUACUAUAUGAUUUGGUUCUUGCACUCUGAUUAUGUGCAUGGUGCUAUGGGUGUUUAUUCGUUGUUGCAUUAGCUAAGGCAAGAAUGCCUCUUUAAGCUAUACGUGAGAGAGAUUAUAUACGCAUCAUCGGUAGGAGAAUUAAUUUCGUUACUGCAAUUUGCUUUGGUGUGUUAUUGGCACUGGUCAUUUUGGUGCACAUAAUCAACAUGCUCGCAUUAGAGAACAAUGUAUAUAUAGGCCAGGUGCAUGUUUGUAACGUCUGAUAAGUCGUAGAUUAAAGAAAGAUGAUGUAAGCAAGUACAUACCUAAAUGAUGUGUUUUCCUUGAGUUACAUUUGAAAUCCUUACAUAUUCGUAUUAAAAUGCAUUUACUUAAGUAUACAACUCGACAUCAUAUAUUUUGAUUCUUUUUUCAAAUAAGAUAUCUAAUCUACGAUAUAGUUUAAACCAUCACCAACCCAUCUAAUCAAAUAAUUAAAAAGUCAAAUAUGACUUAAUGUAUGCUUCAAUGUGCUAUACAAACAGGGCUAUUUGGCCAAAUCAACAUAUAAACUAGCCAAAUUUGACAAGAAAGAGAAAAAGGUGCUAUACAUUUUUAAUUAUAUAUGUUGGACCAUUUUCUGUUAUUUUUUUCUUUUUUACAUUACAAAUAAUUAGAUAAACGCUAAGUAUGGAUCGAAAUAAGGUGUUGUUGCCAUCUUACUACAUAUUGAUCACCAUCUAAUGUGUGUAUUUGGAAUGCAUGUUUAAAAAUAGAAAAUACGUGUUUGACGAAUUGACCUAAUAAAAAAAAAUUACAACCAAAUCAAAAAAAAAUUAUAACAAAAUAUUCAUAUAAAUAUUACUUAUCUAAAAAUAAUUACUUCAUUAUCAAAUUUAAUUAUCUAUAUGUACACUUAUUUAGUUGUAAGGAAAAUUAUAAAUGGCGAGGGCCAAAUUUGGCUAUUGUUGGGUUGGAGCAAAUCAAGAGUUCAAUUUAAUAAAUUUGUCUUUUAGUGGUCUUAAAUUUGACAUUUUACCUUGUUGGGUUAGAGAUAGUCUUACAAUCAAAGAUGGUAACAUUAUACAUACACGCUCUUAGCCCUACUUAACUAGUCAAAACAAUCAAUUCCAGUCACAUAAUUCGAUAUGUUGAUCACUCAAUUUAUAAAAGUACAUAUGGAGUUUCCAACUAAAUAUAGACAACCGAAACCGAACCCGUAUAACACACUCUCACACGUACACCACAAUCAAAUCCAUUGCCGAUUUCAUCCAUGUUCAAACUCCAAAAAGAUGUAUUGGAUGUAGCCAAGGCAAGCCAGGUGGGUGGAUCAAAUGUCUUUGUCAAUAGUAAAAAGAGAGAAAAAGAAAGUCAUAGAACCCAGGGAGACUUUCCUUUUGUUGUUUUCUCAUCAUCACCAUAACUGCAGAAACUUAACCUCUCAGGUUUUUUGGACAUAGCUAUAGCAGCAGCCUUUUCUUGGCUAGAAUUCAAAACCCUACAAAAGAAACGAACAAUGAUCCUGCAGGGGAAUUCCAUGAUCAAGAGUCUUAGUAUCCUUAGUAUUGACCGUUGAGGGUUAUAUGUGUAUUUAUUUAUGUAAUGCUCAAUACAAUAUUAAAAAAUAUAAUUGUACAUACACUUAUGGUAACAUCAUAAUGAUUCUUUGCGAUAACAUUAAACGAAUAUAUCCAACAUAACACCCAAUCCUCGUGACUAAUCAAAUACGAAACGGUUUAACAAAUGGCAACUAAUUAACAAUUGCCAAAGAACAGAAUGAUGGACAUAACUGUAAAUUCCCCUCCUCCUCCCACCUGUGAAUAAGAAGAAGCAAAAGGGCAUAGGAAAGGACACUUUUCAUAGGCAACUUUAGCUUGACCAUAAAAAGCAGAGGAGAAGACGGACAGAAAUUGUGAAAAAGAAAAGCCAAAACCAUAAACACAUUCUCUUCCUUCCACCACUGCGCUACAGUGUAUCUCACAGCCUUUGAUAAUACUCCCAAAAUCAACAACAGAGUGAGACACAGACAGAGAUUUUGAGAGAGAGAGAGAGAGAGAAAUUUUCCUUUGCAGAAGAAAAUAAACAAAUCCAGCUAAGACCUUCUUCAUAUAUUGUCUUGUCAACAAAUACCCACAUCCCCAAAUCUUGAAUCCCCGUCGAAAAUUCAGAGAAAGAUCCAUCCUUUUUCUUCGCCGGAAUCCGUCAUGGGAGACGCCGGCGGUGGUUUCUUCCGUUUCCCCGCCUCCCUCGACCCUCAAGCGCAAGAGUUCCGUCCCCGGGACCACCACCACCACGUCAUCACUCCACAUCACCUCGCCGUCAUCCCGUCUCCCCCCCAACCCUUCAACCACCAGCCCCCUCCUCCCCCCCCCCUGCCGGUACCGUUGCCGUUCGUAGGUGGUGGAGCGGUGAUUGGGUACCAACAUGAUCCUUUCCUCAACCAUAGUAAUUACGACUGUACAACUCCCCGGGAGGGUUUCAAUCGCCGGGUCAUCGGCGGAGGCGGAGAGCUACUGCCGCCGGCUGUUGCUCCGACGAGGGCGAUUCUCAUAUGCUCGCUUCCCGUCGACGGAAGGGUUAGCGAGACGCUGGUCCGGCGAGAAUUGGAAGUGUUCGGCCCGGUGAGGGCCGUCCAGAUGGAGAGAAUCCGCGACGGGAUCGUCACCGUCCACUUCUACGACCUCCGCCCCGCUGAGGCGGCGCUGGAGCCGACCCGCGACCUCCGCCACGCUGAGGCGGCGCUGGACGCCAUCCGAGACCACCACCACGAACACAUGCACAACAACAACUGUCGCCGCUGCCGUCCUUUCUCCGGCUGGUCCACAGUGUGGUCCCAGUUCACAAUCCCGUGUAUUCAUGCCAUGCCUGAAGGUCAAAACCAAGGGACGAUCGUCGUCUUCAAUCUCGACCCAAACGCCUCGGCAUCCUACCUCCGACACAUCUUCCAAUCCUACGGUAUAAAUAAAAUUUUAAAAAAAUCUUUAAAUUCUCCUUUUUUUAAGCGCGCAAAGUGUUCGACGAAAUGCCUAAACGAAUUUAUAUACUUUUCCGUCCGCUUUAGGACCGGUGAAAGAGAUUAGAGAAACGCCGAUGAAGAGGCAGCAGAGGUUCAUCGAAUUCAACGACGUGAGAGACGCCGCCAAGGCGUUGAGCAACAUGAACGGAAAGGAGAUUCUGGGGAAGCCAGUAGUGAUCGAGUUCAGCAGACCUGGCGGGUUCAACAGGAAGUUGUCGUUCAUCAAUUCAUCUUCCUCCAAAAUCGGUACUCCCAAGUUCAUCCCGUUUUCUCCGCCGGCGAGGAAGUUUAACAACAGUCCUCCUCCCCCAUUAGCUCCCCCGUUAGCUCCUAGGCAGAUUCUGAAGAGGAAUUCGAGCAUUGAGUCACCAAAGAAAGGGAUAAUGAAGUUCAGCCAAAGUAAGCCAUGGAAAGGUUGGAAAGCUGGGAGAAACUAUAACAAAUUAUAUGAUAGCAGGUUCUUGAUAAACGAUGAUGAACCAAUCGAGGAAUCAUCUUCAUCAUCAUCAUCGAAGAAUUGGAGUAGCAGUAGUAGUACUGAUUUGAGAACUACUGUAAUGAUCAAGAACAUACCCAACAAGUACAGGUAUGAAGCUUAAAGCUUUUGUUCAUACAUAAGGAUUUGUUUGUAAAUGUCAAAUGAUUGGUUUUUCUUGCAGUCAGAAGCUGCUGUUGAACAUGCUGGACAACCACUGCAUUCACUGCAAUGAACAGAUCGCCAAUCAUGAUGAUAAUGAAGAUGGAGAAGAAAAGAAGCAUCCUUUCUCAUCAUAUGAUUUCGUAUAUCUCCCAAUUGAUUUCAAGUAAGCCCCUUUUGUUUAAUUUUUUUUCUCUCUCUAGGGUUUUGUGCAGAAUUUGAAAUUGGGGUUUUUGAAUUUCUCUGGCUAGCAACAAGUGCAAUGUGGGAUAUGGGUUCGUGAACAUGACAUCGCCAGAGGGAGCAAGGAGGCUGCACAAGGCUUUCAACAACCAGCAUUGGGAGGUUUUCAACUCCAAGAAGAUCUGUGAAGUCACCUAUGCUAGAGUCCAGGUUUUAAUUAAUAUAGUUCAAUCCCAAAUUGAAAGAAGUUCCCUUUUCCCUCUAAUUACAUGUAUAUGACUGUAAACAGGGGUUGGAGGCAUUGAAGGAGCAUUUCAAGAACUCCAAGUUUCCAAGCGAGGUGGAGCAUUAUCUCCCGGUGGUUUUCUCCCCGCCUAGAGAUGGGAGCCAGUUGACUGAGCCAGUACCCAUUCUUUGCUUAAAGCAGCAGCAGAGUGAGGAAGGAGAAGACGUAGGGGUGAUGAUGCGGAAUACCGUUCUUGAAGAUGGUCUGAAGAAGAAGUGCAGUUUGGUUGGAGAAGGGAACGGCGGCGGCGGAAGGAGGAGGGAUGGGAUUAGUGACAGUGACAGUGACAGCAGCAGUAGCAGCAACAGUGGAAUUGUGAGCAAGAGAUAGUGGUGGCGAAACAGUAGAGAUAUAUAUAAUAAUAUGAUAGAUAUAUGAGAUAAUGGGACAAUAGGGGGAGGAGAUAGUGUGUGUUAUGUUAUAAUAUUUUGGAAGAAGGAAAGUACAUUUGUCCCAUGUUUUGUGAAUUAAUAAUGUUGUGUUACUACAAUAUUUAUGUUAUAAGCUUAGCUUAUAUAUUAUAUUUUAUGGUUCAAUUCGAUUUUAUUUUUAAAAUUCGACCAACUAAUUGAGUACAAUUCUUACAAUUUCUUAGCUAUGGUUCAACUCAGAUUCAAAAUCAAAUAAAUUAUAUUGAUUUAACUAGACUCAAAGCUAUAUAAAUUAAAAGAACAAGUCAAAUCAUAAACAUAGCAAAUUUUGCAUUGAUGAUGAAGAGACCUCUAUCUCCCAUCACCCGCCCCCAAUUUGCUUCACUCGUCCAAAAGAUUGUGUUAGUUAUGAUGAAGAUAUCCUUUUUUUUCCCUUCCUAUUUUCGCCGGAAGAAGGCGGCCCCCGCCGGAGGAUGUGAACAAUUGUCGUUUGACUUUUCCCCUGUCCAUAGCUUCUGACUACUGACAAUGACCGGCUUGCUGAUUCAUGUGGGGACCUCCGGUCAGUGAAGAAUUACCUGCAAUCUUUAUUUACCGCCACGUAAUUUUCAUGAUGGGUCCCUCUCGGUCCAGAUGUCGUGGGGGAUCACCACGUGGAUAGUCCUGAUCAUCCCCACGUAGGCACGUCCUCCUCGCCUCUUAUGUUUUGCUUUGCCACUAAAGACAAAAAGAAGAACUAUUAAGCGUGGCGUGGUUGGUUGGUUGAUAAUUGAUUCGUUUUUUUUUUCUAUCGUUUUGGGCUCUUGUAAGCUCAAGUCAAUGGGCUUACGGAGUGGCAUGAUCUGCAAUUUAAUCGAAUUGGAAAACUACGGGCUGGGUCUAUAGAACAAUAACCAGGCCCAAUAUUUUCUAUCGGGCUGACUGAUUUAGAUUUUGAGACAAAGAAACACAAGGAACUGGCAAUUUAGGUCAGUUGGGUAAAGUUGAACGGGUUAUUUUAAAUUACGGGUUGUUUUGGGUUGGGUCAUUUGGGUCAUAAGUUGUUGCUUUUGAAAAUUGACGCUAAUCUUAUAAUUUUGGGUUGGGUUGCAGGUCAUUUCGGAUUACAAUCGUUUUGAAUCAUAACAAAAUUAUAAUCAUCAUUGCGAAAAAAUUAUUAGGAUAAAUAUACUAAAUUUGACUAAUUCAAGUUAAAUUGAUAAAUGAAGGUGGUAAGAAAUAGAAAUAGGGAUAUAAUAGUUCAUAGCGAAGAAAAUAAACAUAUAAAGAAAAUGCAAGUUAACGAUGUCAUUUAUGCCCAACACAUUUACAUGAAUGAUGUUGAGAGGAUGGACAAACUAAAUAUUNNNNNNNNNNNNNNNNNNNNNNNNNNNNNNNNNNNNNNNNNNNNNNNNNNNNNNNNNNNNNNNNNCAUGAAUUAUAUAAUAUAUAAUAAAAUAAAAUAAAAUAAAAAUAUCACAAAACAUAAAACCAUAAUCAUAAAUACGACUACAUAUUAAAAAUCCAGGAUGAUGUUAAACAUAGUAAUUUUUAUAUGCAAUAUAAUAUGUUUCGGGUCAAUCGAUUCAAAAUCCGACCCUAACCCACAAAAAUAUCGUCGAUGCCCAUAUGAGUUUGCAAUUGGGCUUAGUUCGAGUAGGCAUACACCCGUUGCAUUCAUUCAUCUUACUUUGAAUUUGGGCUUAUUCAAAAUUAAGCCCAUACGAUUCUGACUUCACCUCUCUGAACAGAUUCAUUUUCAUCAUUUUGACGAGCCCUAUUCAAAUCCUUCCAAUUCUAUCGAACUCGAACCCUACUGAUUCUCUAAAGGUUGAAGAAACGAUUUCUUUGAAUCGAUCUUUGCCAUCCGAUUGCCAGCUGCAAUAUUAGUGCGUCGGAUUCCUGCGUCUUUCUGUGUGCUUGGAUGUCAAGAAACUCAUUUGCGAGGUAAGCUGACGAGUGAUUUCGAGAUUCUAGUAUCUAUCCCCUGAAUCUCUCUUUCCAGUUUCAAGUUGAUGCUCACUGUCGAUAGAUAAUUUUAUAUAUGUUGCUGAAAAUUGGUCAGGAUUUCUGUGGUUUGAAUUUGAAUUUUCCAUCAAUGGCUCGGGCGGAUUCACCUGCUUUAUUAUGCAUCAAUGAUGUUCUGACUCCUCAUCUACUGACUGAAAUAUUGACUCGCGUUCUUUGGGUCGAUUUGUUUGGGUGUAAGAAUGUCUGCAAGCUCUGGCUCUCUUGUAUUGAUGAUAAUCCUGCUUUUGUUGGCGGUUUUUUUCUCCAGAGGGUUAGAGAAGUGUCCCAAUUGAAUGAGGAAGAUAAGCAGCUGAACCAUGUCCAGUGGGAUCACUGUCAAAUCGUGGCGUUAAAUACCACCUGUUAUUGUGCUGAUGCUUCUAAAUUCUCUCUGGAUUUCCUCCCUAUACUGGAAGGCUUGGAUCUUCGCCAUAGCAGCUUGAAAUACAUAGUAUUGGGAUCAUCAAAUGGCUUGCUCUUGUGCACCCGUGGCAUAGGCUCCGGUGAGAGAUACUGCAUUUGCAACCCGAUUACUAAGAAAUGGCUCGAGCUCUUCCCGUUCCCUCCUUGUGAUGACAAUAUGGACGUUAAAGUUGGUUUCGUAUGUGAUCCAUUCUACCGUUUCAACGAGGAUGAGGGUUCGGUCAGUGUGAAUGGUCAAUUUGGAUUCAAGGUGGUUCGUUUUUAUGCCUCUCGUUACAACGAGGGUGAGGGUAUUCGCGAUGUUAACGCGGAGCUGUUCUCAUCGCAGGCGGGAUGCUGGACUACUACUUAUGGACUACCAUUACCAGACCAUAUCGAUGGUAUGAUUGAAAUUCUUAUUGAAGGGCACAUGGUUGACUGUAACGGGAAGCUUUACUGGAUUGUGGAACAUGGGUAUGAUUUUCUGGUCUAUGAUGCCAUCAAGAGUGAGUUUUAGAUGGAUCGCCUCGACCCUCCUUCAAAUGCAUUGCAAGAUAGAUGGUAUGAUCGAAAGAUAUCUCAGUACAGUGGGCUUACCAUAUGUCAAGGCUUGUUAUGGGUAGGACAAUGUGUGGGUAGACGACUAAGAGUAUUCGUGUUUGAAGAUGGCCAGUGGUGUCUCAAAGCAUGAUGUUGAUGUCCUUGCUAAUAUGCAAUGGCAAUGCAGUUGGGCGGUGGAAGUUCGAGCGUAUGCAUCCCAGUGAUCCCAUGGUAGGGUAUCUGUCCACCAAAGACAUGUUGCUAGAAUGCAAUUUUGGAAGCAAAACCGUGAUAGUGGUGUUCGACAUCGAGGAAGACUCAUCUGGGGAACUCUUCUACGUGUUGCCCAUUUAUCUUCCACUUUGGCCCACCCCACUUCCCAUGGUUUCCAAAUGCUCGAGUAGCUGUGCUCUUAGUGUCCUUGGUUUGGUGCCUAUCUAGUUUGCUUGGUUAAAGUUUCAAAUUCAGGUUUCCCGAUCAUCUACUAGUUUGAUUCGUUCAGUUUGAUCAUCUGCUAACAGUUUUUUAAAUCAUGCACUAUGGUUUAUGAACACAAAUUUCAACUAUUUGCAUUGUAGCAGAAAGGUUUAAGGGACCAAAAAUUAGCAGUGUUGUGAUAAUAACAUAACUUCCAAUUUAGAGAAUAAUUUUUUUUCCGUCAUACACCCUUUCCAAUUAACACCCAUGAAAUCAGAUCCUGACUACGCAACUAAUUUCUAUACUGUCGAAUUGAUUACCUCCAAAUCACUAACACACGAGCGACCAACUCGCUACUCCACGAAAACUUGCUAUCAAAUUGAAAAAAGAAUAUCAAAUCGGCUAUUUAAUUUUCGGCGUUGUCUUUGAAAACUUAAAAGGCCACUACAAAUACUAAUUACUGAAUUUGCUUGUGAAAAACCUCAUUCAAGAUUAAAAAAAUAACUCUAUUUUCUCAUAGUAUCACUGUACUGUUCAAGGUAUAAUAUAACUUCUACACAAGAAAUAAAUAACCACAGCUGAAAUUUGAUCCUUUAAUAAUUAAUAAACACAUGCAUGCAAAAGAUUAAACCCUAACCCCUAGCGCACGUCAAUCACUCCGACGACAACUUCUUGCUACCUUCCUUCUUCCGCACGCAACAUAUAACGUAGUCCUCGAUACCACCACCACACCUAUCUGCCAAAACCCUACCAAGACGAUACUCAUGCAUCACCCAUUCCCCAGCCUCCGAAGAAGAACUCGAACUCGAACCACCACCGUGAUUGAUGACCUUGUAAGAGAAAGACCUAUCGAAACCGAUGGUGGUGGACUCGCCGUCGGGGGUGUGCCGUCGGUGCUGUAGACUAUAGGCUCCUCCUUCUGCGACUUCCACAUGCAGUUUCCGAAGCUCCUAUCGACUCGCUUGCCCUUCUCGUUCUUCUUCUUCUUCUGCUUGGUGAAGAAGUAGAGCUCCGACUCGUUGACCUCGUCCUUGAAGUGUCUCUUCCAUGGCUCGUCGGGGGAGUAGAGGUCGCACUCGAUUAUACCGUCGAAGGGCGGAGGAGGGUGGUUGAGGUUCACGGUGGCUCUGAUGGCUAACGGGUAGAGGUAUGUGAGGAUUAGUUCUUGGUCCGAUGGUUUGAAUCGGUACCCUACUGCUAGGUUCUUGAUCUUCAUUCUUGCAGCAAGAUGCAAAUCAAGUAACUAGUUGAUUACUAGUGAUUAAUUAGGGAGAGUGAAGGUUUAGCUUAGGUUAAUUAGUGUGUUAGUUAUAUAUAGGGGUGUUAAUUAACUAGUAUUUGAUUAGGACUAGGACACGUGUAGACAUUUGAUUACUUGCUGGAUAAUUAAAUAACUAAUUCUCUUCACGUGCCGUACAAUAUGCAUUUUUAUUUGCGCGCGCAAUUUUGAUAAAUGGAUAGGGCGGGACGUUCAUGUACCAUGGUCAUUACGGGAUGCAGAAGUUGGCCGGGUUCAAUGGGAUGAUUGUUGUUUCUCUGAGGCUUGGCCCGGUCGAACUCUUUUUGUAUGACCAUGAUCGGUUAAUGUUGUUGAUCGAUUGGUACCACACGUCGAUUCUUUAGUCCAUUGUAGGUUUUUUUGUCUGCCCCUUCAUUUUCGUCGGAGAGUCAUAGGUGAUGUGUUAGGCUAUAAUGAAAAUGUCUUAUCUUUAUUCUCAUAAUGAGAAGAACAUUCCAAUUAUUCAUGGGUCUAGAUAUUAAAAGAAUAUUAAAAUCAUAGAAAAAUGUUAUUGUUUUUUUUUUUCCGAUUCUAAUGGAUGGUUAAAAUAUUAUUUAAUUUUAUUUGAUUAUUAUUUGAAAUUUUUAACAUGAUAAAACUUAAAUUUUUAGCUAUUCCUGAUAUGUAUGUCAAAUAUUAGUCAAUUUGAAAAUUUUUAAAUUUUUCAUGUCAAAAUUGACCCUUUUUUUUUAUAGAUAUGAGCCAUUNNNNNNNNNNNNNNNNNNNNNNNNNNNNNNNNNNNNNNNNNNNNNNNNNNNNNNNNNNNNNNNNNNNNNNNNNNNNNNNNNNNNNGAAAUGACAAAAAAAAAUCAAGUUUCAAUAUAAUAACCCAUGUAAAUAAUGAUUAAGUUAAAAAUCAAUUUUACUCAAUAUAUAUUAUGUUAGUGUUGAAAUUUUUUAAAUUGGUUUAUUUUAUGAGUGUUGAGCCGCCGUUACGUGAAUUGUGUUUUGUUAACUUCCGCAGUAUAUAAUUGUAUGAGAACCAAAUCAUUUUACCAUAUAUUUCAACCGUACAAAUAAUAACAAAACAUAUAAAUCAGUACAUUCAAUUAACUCCGCAACAAAACACAGACAAACAAUCUAGUAACUAGGUUAAAAUAAGUACCAAAAAAUUAGUUGAAUAGUCGUUGGAGCUAGUAGGGAGGCUGUUAGAUUCUUACUCUAAUACAUCUCAUAGUUAGUAAAAAUAAUUUCAGUUUACUCUGUUUUCUUCGCUGACAUUCUUAUCUUAAUCUUCACUAAACGACAAAUCAGUCGCUUCUAAUAAACGGGAGAGGGAAAUACAACUGCUCUCAAAUAGCACCGGCGGCCAACGGGUCAACCAGCGUUUGCGAUCCGAUGAACCCCAAUUCCGGGGAAGACUUAUCGUAUCAGGAUCGGCAGCUUAACUUCUCUAUCUACUCUUAGUUUCCAGAUGGAGGUAAGUAAAAUUAAAACUUAAGCAUUAAUGAAUUUUAAUCUUACCUGACGGCCGGAAAAAAAUGCUGAGGCAGGAUCACAAGAUGACGGUGGGGGAAGCCGACGGGAACUACGUGGAACCAUCCGAGACGGAGAACCUCUACGUCUACUCCGGGGAGACCUACUCCGUGUUGGUGAAAGCCGAUCAGCCUCCGACGAGGAAUUACUGGAUCACCACGAGCGUCGUCUCUCGGAAACCUUCAACUCCGGCACGUAUCGCAAUUCUCAACUACUACCCGAACCACUCGCGGCGUUGUCCUCAUACUGUCCCGCCAGCUGGACCUCAAUGGAACGACACCGUAUCACGCCUGGAACGGAGUCAGGCAUUUAAGACCCGGAAAGGCUACGUCCACGAACCGCCUCCGACCGGACCGGGUCAUCCAGCUACUCAACACGCAGAACAAGAUUGGAGCGAAAUUCAAAUAGGCGUUGAACAAUCUCUCCCUUGCCCUCUCAACGACUCCUUACUUGAUCCCCCUGAAGUGAAACCUGAAGGGCAUUUUCGAUCAGGAUUCGCCUCCGGAGAAAUUUGAGAUGUCGGAUUAUGACAUUUACAGUGUGGCGAAGAACGUGAACGCUACGCUGAGCAACCGGAUUUACAAGCUGGAAUUCAAUUCCACGAUGGAUGUUAUGUUACAGAAUGCCAACACAAUGACGCCUAACAAUAGUGAAGCGCACCCUUGGCAUCUCCACGGGCAUGAUUUUUGGGUGCUCGCGUAUGGGGAAGGGAACUGUGACCCAACCCGGGAUAUGGAGAGGUAUAACCUUGUGGAUCCGGUGAUGAAGAAUAUAGUGCCGCUUCAUCCUUAUGGGUGGACCGCGAUUCGGUUCAGGGCAGAUAACCCGGGUCUGUGGUUCUUCCAUUGCCACAUUGAGUCUCAUUUCUUCAUGGGAAUGGUUUUGGUUUUCCAAGAAGCGAGUUGGAUGGUUGGACGGCUGCCUUCUUCAGUUAUGGGAUGUGGGAAAACCAAACCGGCCGUUUGAUAGAGUACUAUAGGCUUUCACUUUUUUUGUCGGCUUUGUGUUUUUAGAAUGCGAGCUUUAGACUAGGAUGCCCAAUAGAAUGAUGGAUGAACCACCAUCGUCUUUUAUAAGAGAUAAACAUUACUUAGGUGUUAACUGCUGAUUGGUCGGCAGGGCGGUUGAUGAGUCAAGCCGUUGGUAAUCCACUAAAAAAAAUACUAAAAAGUUUGUUCGAUAAGCGGAGUUCGAACUAGCAUUGGCUCAUGAGCUCAUCGAGCCAGGUUCAAUAACCAGCUCCUCCAUAGUCAUAGCUUGUGAGCCAGCUGAUUUAGAUUAAAGUGUUUGAUUUGUAUCUCAUAAACCUCUCCGGUUUUGAACUCUAAGACCACCCCGUUAUAGUUUAUCGAGCUGACAUUUUAGAGGUAAUUUCGAGCCAAACCCGAGCUGCACAGAUUCAUAAAAGAGAACCAGUGUGCUCCAAAUGAACAAGAAACUUGUACUAUACGCAAGAGCAAUAUACAAAGGAGAAACUCAAGAAUAUUCAGGACAGUCUUGCUGGAUUAAUCCACGCAGAUAAAAUAUACAAAGGAGAAAAUGAAGUACAACAACAAUUACUUCUGGACCUGAAACUGAAACAGCACCAAAGGCUGGUCCCGACUCCCAAGCUUCUUAGGCAGCUAGCUCACAAGAUGCUACAGCUAGUGGUAUCCCUGGUUGAGAAAAAGAUCAGAGAGACGACGAGACAAAACCACAUGGUAGGCCUGGCUAAUGGCUAUAGUUCAAAGGGUGCGUACCUCUUCAUGUCUUCGUAGUUGCCUAAUGCUUGCUCGAACUUAAGCCAAAGCGGACCAGUCUCCUGGCUCACAUUCUUUGGCCCAGCGAUGUAUGCCUGCACUACAAACUGUGGAGUUCUUUCCCUGUAGUGCAUAUAACCGAAACAUCAAGAGACGAACCUUCUCAACCUAAUCCGACCGAACUUAGCACGUAAUGAACGUUAUACCUUCUCUCGUAUUCCGAUAGCCAUGCCAUGUAAGCGGCCCCGAAAUACAUGGACAGAAAUGGUUUGGUCAUAUCAGCAGCCGAAUCGACUCUGUAUGCCCGGUAGCCCAACUCCCUGUAUGAAUUCACGCAUUAGAUUUGAGAAUGAUUCCAAUUCCUAUACUGUCAAUGACCAAAGGCCUAGUAAGUGUCCGUACGUGUAAAGCCAAAAGGCGGUAGAGUAGUCGAUGCCCAUUAUUCCAGUUCGAUGUCCGAUCCCAUUGAGGAAACGCAUACUAACCAUCUCAGCCAGCGCGCAGAGGACUGACUGUACAAGCCAAAGAUAACGAAGAUCAGUUCAUCCCGGCUUCGUUUCCCAAAAAUCUGUUUACAAACAUUUUGAGUGUUCACUUACUGGCCUAACUCCUCUGGUGCUGAAAUGCUUCGAGAGAAUUAUGCUUGCAACUGCCUGCACAAAGAAAUUUCACAACAAAUAUAAUGCAUACAUCCAUAGACAUAAUGUAGUACUCCUACUUGUGUUGCGACUUUAGAAAGAAGAGAGAGCUCGAAGUUCUUUUCGAUGUGUUAAACUUUACCUUGGUCUCUAUUUGGGACAAAUAUGGUCUGUGUUCCUUGUCAUGCGAGAAACGUACUUUUCCACGCCUUUCCCCUGAUUUCGUCCAUUCUCUAGCAACGUCAUGCUGAUUCCACAUCUCUGCCAUAUCCUCAGGAGAAGAUCUAGAGUCCCAGUGCAGAUGAUCACCGUCUGUUCUUUCAACACAAAACAACUACUGAAUAAGGUGGAAGAAAACUAAGAGCUACUAUUUUCAAACACAUUGUCAUAAAACACACAGUAACGAUGAAGCAAGGUUGGAAAUGUAGUAAAAAAGUAUAACCUGAGCUUUGUGAAGAAGAUGAAUGAGAAGCAGAUGCUGAUGGCCUAGGUGAAGUACAAUCAGUAUUUCCAGAGGUCCCUUCGUUUGAAAAUCGUCUUCAAAAACAAAGAGAGCAAUGAAAUCUGAGAAGUUUGAUGAAAAUCAAGUUUUUCUAUCACUAUAUUAGCUAGGGAGAGCAGCAAACAACCAACCACCUGGAAGGAAGACUUUCUUUAACUGAGAGGUACCGUUUCCAGUAUUGCAAAGUUGAUUUAUGUGUUGCCUUUUUGGUGCCACCAUGGUAAGCCCUAACAAUGAACUCUUCACUUCUUUCUCUGCAGCAGCAUUAACAUAAAUCAACAUUGCUGAGGAAUUGGAUGAGGAUACAAACAGCGGAAGGAACCAUAGGGAGAUUCAUCCAUCACAUGCUUACUUGUGCUCGAAGUUGGACAGCCAUUUCAAAUAUGCAGCACCGAAAUAUACACUCACAAAAGGCUUAUAGAGAAUGUCUGGAUUAUCUCCAAGUACGUAAAUCCGGUAGCCAAAAUCUCUAUAAACAGUCAAAGCGUUCUUAAUCAGUGCCAUAUACUGAAAAGAGAGACUGAAAAACCUAUUUGUAUGAUGGUAUACCUCUCCAACCACUGAGCAGUUUUUGGGAAAAUUUGCAUUAUUCCUACAGUGAUCUCCUUAGAUUUCUUAUGAAAGUGCCUAGAGAGAAGCUGCCUGUCGCUUGCAAGUUCAGCAAUAGCACAUAUCAUAUCCUGCAGAAACAUUAAGGAAUAUUACAGCAUUUGUGAGCACACAAUGAGAGCCGGAUGCCAGCCUGUUGAAAUUUCAUUUGAAUGAUUGCCGUACUGGAGAUAUCUGUGAACCGAAGUGCCUACGGACGAUGAUAUCAGCUACUGCCUGAAGGAACACGGCUCAAGAUUCAAGAACAUUAGAUUCUGGAAGAGAGCGAUGGCAGAAAAAAUCAUUAUCAGGUGAAGUUUGGUUCUGAGAGGGAUGGACCUUCAUCUCUGUUUGAGUUAAAUAGGUCUGGCCGUCGGGAUCACGUGAAAUGUGAAUUUUCUGACCGCGAGUCUCGCCGGCGUCCAGCCAUUCAGUGCUGACAGCAGGUUCCCUCCACAUCGCCUCCAAGUCAUUGGGAUCAACACAAUCAUCCCAGUACUUGAAGCUAACCGACAUUUUGCUGAUCCUAGAGAGCGUUACAAGUACCAGCCAUUUACUACAUCAAUCAAAAUUUCAAAAUCCAAACAGAAAAUAGCAACCAGAUCGUAACAAAAAUGAGAAUCCAUCAACGAAUUGGCAGGAACAACGAAUAACAGAUUGAUAUUAAAAAAUCAUGCGUACCCAAUUGAGAUUGCCUAGGAAGAAUUCGAAAAUGCGAUCCGUUAUCUCCUGAUGUCUCCUCUUGUCCGACGAGAAUUGGCUGGGUGGCGAUGACCUUUGGUUGAAUGAUAAAACGGAGGGAAGGGAGAAUGAAAUGGGAGCGGGAAAAGCGGAGGGUAGAGUGGAUUGAGAGGUGAAAAGAAUGAAGAAUGGAAGAGGCUGAGAGAAAAGACGGAAGGUGGACCGUUGUUGACGGGAGAUUAUUAACGUCUGGGACACUGGGCAGGCAGUUGCAGCUCCGGCCUGGUUCUCGCCGGCGUCUCCUUUGCCCCGUUGGUUCAUAUGGACGGACCAACUUGCUGCAGCGGGAAAAUGUGGGACCGGAAUAUUCAAAUAGGCUUUCAUUCAGCCUAUUACCUUUUGUUUAGGGGCCAACGAUGAUUUUUGUGUAAGGUUUGGAGUUUGGAUGGACCUUUUGAUUUUGCUAUUGCAACCCAUUUGACAGUACAGACUAUGAGUAAGUGAUAUGCUAAUAGCAAUGCUACAAUUGAUGAUCAAUGAUAGAAAUUAACAAGGCUAAUUAAUUAGAUAUUGAUUAUGAUGAUUCUGAUUAACCUAACAGUCUCGAGGCCUGGAAACUUCGGAGUCGAACUUGUUGUUGUUGAUGGCGCACCAAGCCAUAAAGAGCACAACCACCAUGAACACCACGAAGCAGAGAAGAGCCACUCCCGCCGCCCUGCAUUGCUUCCUCACUUCGCCCAGGAAACCGGUCUUGCAUCUCUCGCAGUUGUAUCACAUCUUCUUCGGGUCGGAGAUCCAUUUCCCGCACUCUCCGUUACCGGGAGCACCCUGCUUUUCUUUGUUCCCUGUCGCCCCCAUCGUCGCGUUGGCAUUCUCCGGUGUGCAUCCCGGCGGCGGUUUGCAGCAGCCUACCUGUUUUGUUCCCCCGUCGCCAAAAUAUGAAAUAUUUGAACAAUUAGUGACAGUUUAAGCUGUCGCUAAAGGAUUACUUGAUAGACAAGCAUUUUUCAAUUAAUUAAUGGAUUAUAUUGCGUGCCAUGUGUAGGCUUGGCAAUGGGUCGGUUACAGGGCGGUUACACCCUAACCGUUGCCCGUUAAAUUUGCCCACGGUUUUACCCAUAACCGCCCCAUUAUGCCUAAUGGGUAAAAUUUUGUUACCAAAUCCAUUUUGAUAUGGAUUUCGGUUAAACCCGUGGAUAUCGGGUUUGUCCAACAAAUUGUCAAAAUCUGAAAAUUAAAAAAUCUCAAAUGAAAACCUGGCAAUAAAUAUCAUCAUUCAUCCCAUUGACCAAUUCCCAGUCUCAUACUGUAUUUACGAGUUCAGUUGAGGGUUUAGCAGUUUAUUAAGGGCUUACUUAAAAGUUUAGUAAUGCUUAACAGUUUAUUAAGGGUUUAACAAAUUUAGUUAUAGAGUUUAGGGUUUACGAGUUCAGUUGAGGGUUUAGCAGUUUAUUAAGGGCUUACUUAAAAGUUUAGUAAUGCUUAACAGUUUAUUAAGGGUUUAACAAAUUUAGUUAUAGAGUUUAGGGUUUACGAGUUCAGUUGAGGGUUUAGCAGUUUAUUAAGGGCUUACUUAAAAGUUUAGUAAUGCUUAACAGUUUAUUAAGGGUUUAACAAAUUUAGUUAUAGAGUUUAGGGUUUACGAGUUCAGUUGAGGGUUUAGCAGUUUAUUAAGGGCUUACUUAAAAGUUUAGUAAUGCUUAACAGUUUAUUAAGGGUUUAACAAAUUUAGUUAUAGAGUUUAGGGUUUACGAGUUCAGUUGAGGGUUUAGCAGUUUAUUAAGGGCUUACUUAAAAGUUUAGUAAUGCUUAACAGUUUAUUAAGGGUUUAACAAAUUUAGUUAUAGAGUUUAGGGUUUACGAGUUCAGUUGAGGGUUUAGCAGUUUAUUAAGGGCUUACUUAAAAGUUUAGUAAUGCUUAACAGUUUAUUAAGGGUUUAACAAAUUUAGUUAUAGAGUUUAGGGUUUACGAGUUCAGUUGAGGGUUUAGCAGUUUAUUAAGGGCUUACUUAAAAGUUUAGUAAUGCUUAACAGUUUAUUAAGGGUUUAACAAAUUUAGUUAUAGAGUUUAGGGUUUACGAGUUCAGUUGAGGGUUUAGCAGUUUAUUAAGGGCUUACUUAAAAGUUUAGUAAUGCUUAACAGUUUAUUAAGGGUUUAACAAAUUUAGUUAUAGAGUUUAGGGUUUACGAGUUCAGUUGAGGGUUUAGCAGUUUAUUAAGGGCUUACUUAAAAGUUUAGUAAUGCUUAACAGUUUAUUAAGGGUUUAACAAAUUUAGUUAUAGAGUUUAGGGUUUACGAGUUCAGUUGAGGGUUUAGCAGUUUAUUAAGGGCUUACUUAAAAGUUUAGUAAUGCUUAACAGUUUAUUAAGGGUUUAACAAAUUUAGUUAUAGAGUUUAGGGUUUACGAGUUCAGUUGAGGGUUUAGCAGUUUAUUAAGGGCUUACUUAAAAGUUUAGUAAUGCUUAACAGUUUAUUAAGGGUUUAACAAAUUUAGUUAUAGAGUUUAGGGUUUACGAGUUCAGUUGAGGGUUUAGCAGUUUAUUAAGGGCUUACUUAAAAGUUUAGUAAUGCUUAACAGUUUAUUAAGGGUUUAACAAAUUUAGUUAUAGAGUUUAGGGUUUACGAGUUCAGUUGAGGGUUUAGCAGUUUAUUAAGGGCUUACUUAAAAGUUUAGUAAUGCUUAACAGUUUAUUAAGGGUUUAACAAAUUUAGUUAUAGAGUUUAGGGUUUACGAGUUCAGUUGAGGGUUUAGCAGUUUAUUAAGGGCUUACUUAAAAGUUUAGUAAUGCUUAACAGUUUAUUAAGGGUUUAACAAAUUUAGUUAUAGAGUUUAGGGUUUACGAGUUCAGUUGAGGGUUUAGCAGUUUAUUAAGGGCUUACUUAAAAGUUUAGUAAUGCUUAACAGUUUAUUAAGGGUUUAACAAAUUUAGUUAUAGAGUUUAGGGUUUACGAGUUCAGUUGAGGGUUUAGCAGUUUAUUAAGGGCUUACUUAAAAGUUUAGUAAUGCUUAACAGUUUAUUAAGGGUUUAACAAAUUUAGUUAUAGAGUUUAGGGUUUACGAGUUCAGUUGAGGGUUUAGCAGUUUAUUAAGGGCUUACUUAAAAGUUUAGUAAUGCUUAACAGUUUAUUAAGGGUUUAACAAAUUUAGUUAUAGAGUUUAGGGUUUACGAGUUCAGUUGAGGGUUUAGCAGUUUAUUAAGGGCUUACUUAAAAGUUUAGUAAUGCUUAACAGUUUAUUAAGGGUUUAACAAAUUUAGUUAUAGAGUUUAGGGUUUACGAGUUCAGUUGAGGGUUUAGCAGUUUAUUAAGGGCUUACUUAAAAGUUUAGUAAUGCUUAACAGUUUAUUAAGGGUUUAACAAAUUUAGUUAUAGAGUUUAGGGUUUACGAGUUCAGUUGAGGGUUUAGCAGUUUAUUAAGGGCUUACUUAAAAGUUUAGUAAUGCUUAACAGUUUAUUAAGGGUUUAACAAAUUUAGUUAUAGAGUUUAGGGUUUACGAGUUCAGUUGAGGGUUUAGCAGUUUAUUAAGGGCUUACUUAAAAGUUUAGUAAUGCUUAACAGUUUAUUAAGGGUUUAACAAAUUUAGUUAUAGAGUUUAGGGUUUACGAGUUCAGUUGAGGGUUUAGCAGUUUAUUAAGGGCUUACUUAAAAGUUUAGUAAUGCUUAACAGUUUAUUAAGGGUUUAACAAAUUUAGUUAUAGAGUUUAGGGUUUACGAGUUCAGUUGAGGGUUUAGCAGUUUAUUAAGGGCUUACUUAAAAGUUUAGUAAUGCUUAACAGUUUAUUAAGGGUUUAACAAAUUUAGUUAUAGAGUUUAGGGUUUACGAGUUCAGUUGAGGGUUUAGCAGUUUAUUAAGGGCUUACUUAAAAGUUUAGUAAUGCUUAACAGUUUAUUAAGGGUUUAACAAAUUUAGUUAUAGAGUUUAGGGUUUACGAGUUCAGUUGAGGGUUUAGCAGUUUAUUAAGGGCUUACUUAACAGUUUAGUAAUGCUUAACAGUUUAUUAAGGGUUUAACAAAUUUAGUUAUAGAGUUUAGGGUUUACGAGUUCAGUUGAGGGUUUAAUAGUUUAUUAAGGGCUUACUUAACAGUUUAGUAAUGCUUAACAGUUUAUUAAGGGUUUAACAAAUUUAGUUAUAGAGUUUAGGGUUUACGAGUUCAGUUGAGGGUUUAAUAGUUUAUUAAGGGCUUACUUAACAGUUUAGUAAUGCUUAACAGUUUAUUAAGGGUUUAACAAAUUUAGUUAUAGAGUUUAGGGUUUACGAGUUCAGUUGAGGGUUUAAUAGUUUAUUAAGGGCUUACUUAACAGUUUAGUAAUGCUUAACAGUUUAUUAAGGGUUUAACAAAUUUAGUUAUAGAGUUUAGGGUUUACGAGUUCAGUUGAGGGUUUAAUAGUUUAUUAAGGGCUUACUUAACAGUUUAGUAAUGCUUAACAGUUUAUUAAGGGUUUAACAAAUUUAGUUAUAGAGUUUAGGGUUUACGAGUUCAGUUGAGGGUUUAAUAGUUUAUUAAGGGCUUACUUAACAGUUUAGUAAUGCUUAACAGUUUAUUAAGGGUUUAACAAAUUUAGUUAUAGAGUUUAGGGUUUACGAGUUCAGUUGAGGGUUUAAUAGUUUACUAUCAGAAUUCAUAAAGAAGAUAGAUUAUUAAGGGUACUAUUAGAAAGUAGACAGCCUAUUAAGGGGUUAACUUUAACAGUUUAUAAGGGUUUAACAAUUAGGUAGAGAGUUCAUGGGUUAUGAGUUCAAUUGAAGACAGUAUAAACUUGGUUCAGGCUGUUAACAAUCUAACAUAACACUUCUAAGUUCUAAACAAGUUCUAAAACUCUCAAAUGUUAUACCAUUACACAAUGUAAGCUUACCUCAGCAGUUGUAGAAACAGAUUGUUGUCUUGCCUCCUGAACAACGAUUUCAAAGUUCCACCCUGCCUCCUAAUUAGCACCAACUGUGUGACUUCCUCCUAAGCAGAAACAUACAUUUUAUUAUAAUACUGUACUUACAACAUUGCUAUGAAUCAAAGGAAAAACAACCACAAACCCUAUACUUAAACGUACCUAAACAGCGGAAUGAAACCAAUUUUGGCCCUGAUUCUAUAACUCUCUAGUCCAGAGCAGUAAUCUGAAACAUAUAACACUGCAAAUCAGAUUUUUCACAUAAUAACAGACACAAAACAUUCAAAGAGUCACAAAAGCCACAAACACAUUCACAAAAGCCACAAACACAUAAUAACAGAUAACUUACUGGUAUGAAAUGAAUCGGAAGGAAAAAUCCCAAAUUUGAUAAAUUAGGGUUUCUGUCUUCUGGAUUUUGUUCGACGAACUGCAUAUGAAGCAAUAAACCCAAAAAUUAGUAUACAAUUUAUACAUGCAGGGAUAAACAAAAAUAAGGAAUGGCAGAAUAAAAAACUUAUCUCGAUUUGGGGAAGGAAUCCUUUGCAUGCACGAUUCGAACCAGAUUUUUGCGGAUUGAAGGAGUUUUGUAGUUGAAUAUGGGUAGGUGAUGAUUAUAGUGGGGAUGGAUUCGAUGAAUAUCAACAGAAAAGGAAGAUUUGGGAGAAAAAUUAGGGUUUCAGUGGAGUUCUUUCGAGAGGAAGUCGGGAGAAAAUUCUGGAGAGAGGCUCAGAGGCGUGAAAAAAUGGCUGAAAUGAAACCCUAGUCUGAAAAUUUUGCUUUUAUACCCUAUAUCAAUACUACGUCGUUUUAACUCACGGAUUGGAUAUGGGUCGGAUAAGUUAUUAUCCGUAUCCGCCCAUUACCCGAAACUCGCGGGUCACGGGCCUGACCGAAACCGGUAAACAUCCAUCGGGCCCAGACUUUCGGGCUGUAUUCGCGGGCGGGCUCCACUGGGUAACCUAAACCCGUGGGCUGACUGCCAAGCCUAGCCAUGUGUCGCCUUUAAAUUGGCCGUUAUACCAAUUUUAGUUUACUUUUGAAAAUUAAUACCUUGAACCCUCUAUCUAGACAAUCUAAUUAAAUUCACUAUAUGAUAAAAAUCUCGAAAAGAAAUCACGGUUAAACCGAAACACUAUACUUAAAACCUUCCACAUCUCAAGACCUACCCACACACACAAGUAUUACAACACCAAUUUGAAAAAAUACAUGACAUUCGAUACAUUUUACUUCAUAAAUGUACACAUGAUUAUAGUUUCAGACCCUAAUGAGUUAUCCAUCAUCUACAAAAAUUCGACUCUCACAUUAUUCUCCACCACCAUGUACAAAUGCAAAACCGAACUCAAAUGUCUAACCAAUUUGUAUCACCAUCAAAAAAUAUUGUAUAAAAAGGUAUAAAAGAAGUAAGAAAAGCUCAUGAGCUUAAUUACCAGUAAAUGAGCCAAAACGUCAACAAUUUUCUCCAAUUUUUCUAAUCUAUAGCUUUGGUGUUCCACGCCGUUUGUUAACUCUGUUAGUAAAUACAGAUUCUUCUUCAACUAUUAAUUAGCAUUUUACUCCAACGUUAAUCAACUAAUUUCAAUACAAAACUCCACUCCCAAAAAUUAAUUUCGAAGGUAAACUUUUAUUUUACCGAGUUGAAGGUAAAAUUUAAUUAUUAACCUGUGAAAAGAAUUUGCUUAGUAAUUCUUGUAUGCCACCCAUCACUUUCGUCGCCGUCCUUAAAGCUUCCUCGAUCGAUCCCUUUGGAUUUUUCGAAUUAUUGAAACUUUUAUUAUAAAAAUGUACAAAGAAUAUAUAAAAACCUUGAUUAUUAUUAUUAUCCAAUUAAAAAUUGUUAAGUCUACCUUCUCAGAAGCAGGACCGAGUUUCCGAGUCACCCGAUUGACUGCCUCAACGUUCUUCCUUUCCGUUUUCUACCACUCGAUCGGUAGAGUUAGUUGCCAACUCAUUAUCCGACUCAGCUUCUCCUCUACCUUCAUCCUCUGAAUCUCCAUUACCCUUUUCCUCUUCUGCCAAAUCGUAAGCCACGCGUGGAUCAGCUUCGCACGUGUGGCAAGCUCCCUCACAUUUGCAGCUGCUUCUGCCUUCGCGUUCGCGAAUCUUCACUGGAUUAACGUACCGUUCACAACUUCGAAAUUCCGCCGCCGCCGCUCCCCUCGCCGACGCAGCUACUCGAUCCGCGCUCACUCCUUCCCUCCCUCCCUUGUCUUUGGAGACUUAAUAAGCCACUACAAAUAUUAAUUACUGAAAUUUCCUGUGAUAAAUUCAUCUUGUCGUCGUAAAAACUAAUCAAAACCUUAUUUAAUUAAACUCUUUUUUGUAAUUGUAUUAAUGUCUAGUUGAAAGCCAGGUAUAAUAUAAUUAUUUUACAAAAAAGGUAUAUUAUAAUUAACUUCAUUACAAAAAAUAAUCAUAGCUGAAAUUUGAUUUAAUUAAUUAAAUUAAAUUACACAUGAUGCAAAAGAAGUAAACCCUAACCCCUAGCGCACGUCAAUCACUCCGACGAUGACUUCUUGCUACCUUCCUUCUUCCUCACGCAACAUAUAACGUAGUCCUCGAUACCACCACCACACCUGUCCGCCAAAACCCUACCAAGACGAUACUCAUGCAUCACCCAUUCCCCAGCCUCCGAAGAAGAACUCGAACUCGAACCACCACCGUGAUUGAUGACCUUGUAAGAGAAAGACCUAUCGAAACCGAUGGUGGUGGACUCACCGUCGGUGCUGUAGACUAUAGGCUCCUCCUUCUGCGACUUCCACACGCAGUUUCCGAAGCUCCUCUCGACUCGCUUGCCCUUCUCGUUCUUCUUCUUCCGCUUGGUAAAGAAGUAGAGCUCCGACUCGUUGACCUCGUCCUUGAAGUGUCUCUUCCAUGGCUCGUCGGGGGAGUAGAGGUCGCACUCGAUUAUACCGUCAAAGGGCGGAGGAGGGUGGUUGGGGUUGACGGUGGCUCUGAUGGCUAACGGGUAGAGGUAUGUGAGGAUUAGUUCUUGGUCCGAUGGUUUGAAUCGGUACCCUACUGCUAGGUUCUUGAUCUUCAUUCUUGCAGCAAGAUGCAAAUCAAGUAACUAGUUGAUUACUAGUGAUUAAUUAGGGAGAGUGAAGGUUUAGCUUAGGUUAAUUAGUGUGUUAGUUAUAUAUAGGGGUGCUAAUUAACUAGUAUUUGAUUAGGACUAGGACACGUGUAGACAUUUCAUUACUUGCUGGGUAAUCAAAUAACUAAUUUCCUUCACGUACGUACGCUGUACGAUAUGUAUUUUUAUUUGAGUGCGCAUUAUUUAUAAAUGGAUAACUUUUGAAAAAAUAAUUCAAAAAUACAACUUAAUUAGCAUAUCUUACUCAGAAUGGUGAUUAGUGUCUUUUGAACUACAUCUUAAUUUAGAUUAAUGAGNNNNNNNNNNNNNNNNNNNNNNNNNNNNNNNNNNNNNNNNNNNNNNNNNNNNNNNNNNNNNNNNNNNNNNNNNNNNNNNNNNNNNNNNNNNNNNNNNNNNNNNNNNNNNNNNNNNNNNNNNNNNNNAGUUAAAAUGAAGUAAACUAGUGGAUCCAAAAAAUUUAAAAAUAAAUAAAUAACGGAGAAUUACCAUUUUCUUCUCCGUGAGAUUACGACAUUUAUAAUAGUUAGAGUGAUUUAAAAAAAACGUAGGCCGGCGAAUAGUACGCCUCGGGAUGAGCGGGGGAGAAGAAAAUGACAAUUCUCCGUUAUUUAUUUAUUUUUUACUUUUCAAGAUCCACUAGUUUACGUCAUUUUAACUUGGCGACGUGCUAGAUCUUAAAAAACCUACAAUAAUAGAUAAGUGUAUGUAAAAUACUACUAUAAUGGCAUCUUAUGCAGAAUCUUAAAUAUAAUGAAAUUCGGUGCAAUAACGCAAGACUGUAGUAGCAUGUGCCGCAUUUUACUCAUGAACUUUCAUAAUUUCAUUUGUCUUACUUAUGGAUAUUUAUGUCAUUUUUAUUUCAAUUUUUAAUUUAAUUAUUUUUCAAAUUAAAAUCUCUCUAAAUCAACCAUCCAAAACAAUUUAUUUUUCAAAAUAACACGAGUUUCAAAUUCCGUAAUAAUUUAGAAGGAAGACGAGGUGGUUAAAUAGGAGGGGAGGAGAUGAAAAUAGAAGGAGAAAAUUCAAUGGAGAGUGGCAGAGCCAUUGACAAUUGGAGGCAUGUGGUCAAAUGGAAACAUAGCGCGGUCUACAUUGUUCAAAAAAGAUGAGAGCCACGUAUAUUUUUGCGUGGGUAACUUCUCAAAGUGGAAUAUUGAUUGAGUUCGUGCACUAUAUUUAAAGGAGGAAGACGAAAGUAGAACGAGAAAGGCUGAUGAGAGUGCAUGCCCCAUUGAUCAUUAGAGGCAUGUAUCUAUGUGCUCAAAUGAAAUCUAGCGAGGUCUAUAUUGUUCGUAACGAGUGGAAAUGUAGGGGAUUCAACUCUGUACUUUUCGCAUGUAAAACGAAAUGCUCUAUUAUUUAAAGCUUAAUUUAAAAUAAACGAAAAUCAAUUUGAGGAUUUAUAAAGAUCGUUAUUGAAAAAAUAUGACGAUAGAUAUCAUAUUAUUAUUAUUAUUUACGUAAUUAAUAGUUAUCUCAUGGGGAAUUAAUUAUUAUCAUAUACAUUAUACGGAGAGAGAGUAAAGUAGGGUUCAUGAGGCUCUUGCGUUACAUUUAUUAAACUCCCUCCCCCCUUCCGCCCAACAACUCACCCUCCCCCCCCUCACACCAACUCCUCCCCAUUCUCUACAUCACUCUUCCUUUUUCUUUCUUUCCAUCUCAGAAAAACAAAACAAAAAAUCUUCCGCCGCUAUCAACGACGACGAUGGAGAAUACCACAUCACAUUCAACACCGACGAUGUUGAUCAUGGCCGCCGCCGCCCUCCUCUUGUUUCUUUCCUUCUUCUUGUCCGCCGUCGAAUCCUCAUCGUCGCUAUCAGCUUCUAGUAAUAAACCUACUACAUCACCACCACCACCGGUCCGCCGCCAGCUCUCCGCAACAACCGCCGCGGAUUCUUCCUGCAGCACCGCUGUGUGCAUGGAGCUUCGAAAAAUGAUAAAGUCCCGACGUCAACAAGCUGGCCGCCGUGAGAACAAGAGCUACACCGCCGGCGAGCAUCAAGAUCGUCAAGAACAAGACAGCGGCGGGGGAGGAGGUGGAGAGAUAGACAUGAGGUACGGCGUUGAGAAGCGGUUGGUCCCUUCCGGCCCAAACCCUCUCCACAACUAGCUAGAAGAAUCAAACUCCGAGAAUCUCCUAUUUCCCGGUCGAUGGUAAACGACGUCGUAUUAUUAGCCUCAAACAACACUGUCCAUAUUAUUUGUUUCGUUUCGUACUUUUUUUGUCCUUUUCCUUCCAGAAAUCCGGUGCGGCGUCGUUUAUGAUCAACCGCGGUGAACUGAUCUAGCGUAUAGAGAGUAUUAUGAAGAUCACUUGGUUUCUGAUGCUUCUUCCAUUUCUUGUUUGGCUUCGCAAAGAUAUUAAUUAAAUUGUUUUUUUUAUAUAAUUAAUAUAUUUUUAUCAGGGGGAAAUUCAAAUGGUGGUGGAAUUUAAUUAUUAUUAUUAUUAUUAUAUAUAUAUAUAUGGGUUCAAGAGAUACUCAUGAAUUUCAUUAAUUUGUCGGCUGGCUCCCCCUUAAUUCUCUUUUAUUUUUUGUUGCCCUUAUUCCAUGGUAUGCAUGUGUGCAUUAAAUUUGCCGACUUCAGUAGUAAGUUUGUCACCUUCACCGUAUUUACUUCCUCCUUCAACCUCCCUAUUCUCCGACUCUUUCUGUCCAUCAAGCUAAGUGUACGUACACACAUAUAUACAGUCGCCCAUGCAUGUGGGAGGUGUGUAACCGAUUGAUGGUAAUUUGGUGUCACGAGUUACCACCUAGAUCAUUUGACGGUUAACAUGAUCGUGGCAGUAAGCAUUUCGUGAUGUAUAAUAUAUAAUCGAAGGUUAGCAAAUAUGUAUUCCGUUAGUUCAAAAAUUGAACAAGCAUAUAUCCCACGUGCCAUACUCUUUUCAUUCCACCGUUUAAUUAAUAGUAGUUAGACCACUAAUUAUAGUACUAUAAUAAAUAUUGCACCUGCCACUUGGUGAUUAACCGUUUACCUUAACGACCAUAUGGUCAAAUUUUUAUCAUAUUUCGGUUAUGAUUUGUUUUCCAAUAAUGUAGUUUCGAUGGUUGGGGAUAAUAAGAUGUCAAGAUAGAAAAGCGAGUACAAACUAAGUAUAUAUAUACCAACCCAAGUAUAUUUUUAUUUGAUAGAUAUCUAAUUAAGAGUUUAUCUUACUUUAAAGUACUCUGACACUUUAUUUUGUUCAAUUAGUGAAGAAAUUCAAGCCCUCGAAGAAAGUAGUAAGCUCAACCAAUAUUGCUUCAUCCGACAAGUAGCUGACUAGCUUAGACCACCACCGAGAGACUACUAACUUUGUAUUAUCUUUUACUAUCCACUAGAACCUAACCAGAUACGAAGAGCACAAACGACAAGUAAGAAAAAAAUUUCAAUACAAAUCACAUAAUAUGGGAGGCUAUUUGAAUUCUGAACUAUCAAUUUAAUAACGGCACAAUAUAAAGAAAGAACCACCCUCACAACUCGUUCCACCCCACCCACAUGUUUAUAAUUGCAAAAAGAUUAUGAAUGUUAAUUGUAACACAACUCAUGUCAAUAAGUGGCUAACAAGUAACAAAGAAAAGGAUACAAAAUAUGUGGAAAACAAAAUAAAAAAGUAUUCAAAUCUAAAAUCUUUUUGUAAAAAAAAAAAAGUAUUCAAAUGCUAUUUGAUUCUCACUAGUAGCAGACAGUUGAUCGGAUCUUCCUCUGGGAAAGACCACCAAAAAAAUGGCGCGUCAUCUCCUUCUCUUCCUCCUCAUCGGUCUCCUCCACACUAUCGCCCUCUCGAAAACCCUCAAACGCGACGGUAAAUGACUGAAUUCACCAGAUCUGACCUCCUCCGCCGCGGCGGAUUGAACGGAUAUAAACUGAUUUCAUUUCGAUGCAGUGAAGGCACUGAACGAGAUCAAGUCGUCACUGGGAUGGAGAGUUGUGUACGCCUGGGUAGGAGACGACCCUUGCGGCGGCGACGGCCUCCAGCCUUGGUCCGGCGUCACCUGCUCCACUCAGGGAGAUUACAGAGUCGUCACCGAAUUGUAAAGUUUGUGAACAGUGUAUACCUUAAGUUCUUCCCGCCUAUGGGGUUUGAAUGGUGAGUGAUUGAUGCUUUUGUUUUGUAUUGGUAGGGAAGUGUAUGCAGUGUCGAUUGUCGGUCCAUUUCCUACUGCGGUGACGAAUCUGCUGGAUCUCACCAGAUUGUGAGGCUCCUUCUUGCCUUUGCAUUUUCACUUCAUUGUAUUAGAGUUUAUGUUUUCUGAAUGUUUGAUGCUGAAUAGGGAUUUUCAUAAUAACAAGCUGACAGGGCCGAUCCCUCCUCAAAUUGGGAGGUUGAAGCGUCUCAAGAUACUGUAUAGCCCCUUGCCUUGCUUGAUUGCUUUCUGUUUUUAGCCAGUUUUGAUUGGAUUCAUGGUGUGAAGUUGUGUUUCUAUCUUAGGAAUUUGAGGUGGAACAAGUUGCAAGAUUCACUUCCUCCUGAAAUCGGCGAGCUUAAGAGUUUGACACAUUUGUGAGUUGAUCAUUCAUUCGUUUGACACAAUAAUGUGAUUGUUUACGCCGAUUUCAAGUUGAUGUUAAUAUGGAAAAUGUUGUUGGAAGGUAUUUGAGCUUCAAUAAUUUCAAAGGAGAGAUUCCAAGGGAGCUAGCUAAUCUUCCCGAGCUUCGAUAUCUGUACUUGCAAGAGAAUAGGUUCUCGGGGAGAGUUCCUGCAGAAUUGGGAACGUUGCAGAAUCUUCGCCACUUGUAUGUAGUAACCAUCCCAUCUUCUCUGUUGAUUCUUGCUGUGUUAUGGCCUAGGGGUGUAGCCCUUUUAUCCAGUUUUCGGUAUGUGUAGGGAUGUUGGCAACAAUCAUUUGGUGGGUACUAUAAGAGAACUAAUCCGGAUUGAGGGUUGUUUCCCUGCGCUUCGCAACUUGUAAGUUCAUUUCAUCCUCACCAUGGGGAGCCUGUGAGUUGCUAAUGUGAGAUUAUUUAACGUGACUGAUUGCAUUUGUGUUCUUGUUUCUCUAGCUAUCUGAACAAUAAUUAUUUUACCGGAGGAGUCCCUACGCAGCUAGCUAACUUGACAAACUUAGAAAUCUUGUAAGCUUCCGUGCAUUCUUUCCGUUUUCUUUCUUCUGUAAAUUCCUUGAACAAUUCUCUUUCCAUGUCCGCUCUCCCUCAAAGAUUAUCUUCAAGUUCUAUGUGUCCUGUUUUCUCUUACCUUAAUACGUUUCUGGCAGGCACCUAUCCUAUAACAAGAUGACUGGAGUAAUACCCAUUGGACUUGCUUCCAUCCCGAAGUUGACAUAUCUGUAAGUUUCUUCAACGAGUUUUAGUUCCUUCAUUUCCAUCAGAUUACCGUUUGAGAUCACUGAAUCUAUAACACUUACAGGUACAUCGAAGGAAGCUCGUUCAAGCCUGGCGUAAAUCCAAUAGGCAUGCACAAAGUCUUCGAAGUAUCUGAUGCAGAUUUUGUAGUUUAAAAACCCUUAGCUAAUUUUUUGUACUCUAAUUUAUUUCACACUUUCUCUGUUACAAGCCUAUACAUAGAGAGAGUUGAUGCUGUUAAAUGUAUGGAACACAACCCAAAAUCAUGCUAAAAGCCAUUGUCUAGUAGUUCUCAUCAAUGUUUUGAAUAUAGCACCUGAAGGUUCGGUCGGUUCUAGCAUCGUUCAAUUAGGGUUUAUAAUAGUUUGAACAAUCGAACUGCAUACGGUUAGUUUUAGUGAUACUAUCUUCGGUAUGGUUCUGGAGAUCAUUGUUCUAACUGCUAAUCCUUCAUUCAUUGUGCUAAGCUUUCACAUUUCAUGAUAUGGAACUGUUCGUAAAACCACAAAUUUUACCAUCGUUUUAAAAAAUCGCACCGAAAUGGAUAGUUUGACUUGUCUGAUCUUAAACCGCUCAUAAAAAUAGUCUGGCACGAUCCAGAUAUAUCAAAGUUAAAGACUUUAAUUUGUAACCUAUUAAAUGGUUGAACCACAUUUGAAAAACGUUCUUUCCAACCCAAUCCAAAUUCCUAAAGCAUCCUAAUAUACAAAAUUAAAUGAUAAUAUUCCUUGAAAUAAACUUAAGUGGCCGCUUUAAUUACCAUCCAAUAGUUAAGUAUAGUUAAUUUAUGAUUAGAUAAAUCAAACCAGGCCGUUAUUUCAGUUCUGUUUCUUGUCGGGUUUUCUAAUCACUUGUCCAUUUUUAACUAACCUCCAUUUUCUUUUCAGAUUUUCUCCCUUUCAUUUCUUCUUCUUCUUUCCUCUUCAGGCUUCGUGUUCCUCCACAGAGCCUAACAGGAACGAGGAAUGUGAUCUCAUCAAAAUUAAAUUUUCAGAUUUAUCAAAACUACGAUGUCGAGUUUCAAUGUUCUUCUCCUUCUCUGUUCAAUCAUCCUAUCAAGUUUCUUCACCCUAUCGUACUCUGAUCAUCCUCACUAUGAAGAUGUCCACCAUGCUCACCACAAGAUGAAGGACCCGGAUGAAAUCACCGUCACGAUCAAAUCAGGCGCCGCUGUAUCCCACACUGCCGACGACUACGUCUGCGCAACUCUCGAUUGGUGGAGGAAAGACAAAUGCGAUUACCGACACUGCCCGUGGGGAAACGCUGGAAUUCUUGAUGUGGUAAUGUGUUUGUAACGGAAAUGUCUUUAUUAUUGGGUGAUCUUCGGGAACUGAUUCGUUGAUUUUGGUUUGAAUCAUGCAGGAUCUUAACAAUACACUUUUGGCCAAAGCUAUCAAGGGUAAGUAAAAAGUUCUGGGAUUUUUUUUCAGUCACCUUUAAGAUGUUCGAUGAAAUGCCUCAAUGAGGAAAUAAUUGCCCAUUUUUUAUGUGUUGUGUGUAGCGUUUGAUCCGUUGAGGCUUAGAGUGGGAGGAUCAUUGCAGGAUCUGGUGACUUAUGAAGUUGGAGGAGCUGUCGGUAUUCAUCCCAGCUUCGUGAAGGACAAAGAUGUGAUGCUUGGGUUCAAACCGGGGUCUCUUCCCAUGAAAAGAUGGGACGAGCUUAAUGAAUUCUUCGCUAAAACUAAGUGAGUUGUUCAUAAAUUAGAAAACUAUAAGUAAUUUUCUUUCUCUACCUAACCAAGUUGAUUGCUUUUGUUUGUAGUACCAAAGUAAUUUUUGGUUUGAAUGAGCUCUCUGGCAAGAAAAAGGAAAACCCGUCGACGACUCAAAUGGUAGGAGACUGGGACCCUACUAAUGCUCGCGAUUUCAUGAACUACACUGUUCAAAAGGGAUACAAGAUUGAUGCCUAUGAAUUGGGUACGUCUUCAUCAUAAAAGUAUUAAAAACUAUGAUCUUCUAUUGAUGGGUGAUGACAUUGAUUGAUUGCUCACAUCUUUUUAUAGGAAAUGAGUUGUGUGGUGAUGGAGUAGAUGCUAAGAUAGAUCCGGAGCAGUAUGCAAAAGAUACUAAAGAGCUAAGGAAAGUCUUGAAUGAAUUGUACCCGGAUCCUAAGUCCAGGCCCCAAGUUCUGGCUCCUGGAGGUUUCUUUUUCAAGGAAUGGUUCAAAACCUACCUUCAUGCUUGCGGACCAAACGUUAUCGAUGGCGUAACCCACCAUGUCUACAAUCUUGGAACUGGUAAAAUUUUCGAAAUUGUUAGCUCUUAGAGUGUUUGAUAUCCAAUGGUUGCUUUGGCUGGACCAUUGAUUGUGAAAGUUUGUGCCUUUUCUUUAUCAGUGCUUUAUACCCAUCUGUUUCUGUAUUCAUUAAACACCAACCUUUGAAAAUUUCCAGGUGGUGAUCCGAAGAUAAUAGACAGGAUUCAAGAUCCACAUUUCCUGAGCGAGGUAGUUCAGCUGUACAGGGACGUUCAGGAAGUAGCGGAGCAGUCUGGAUCAGGAGCAUCUCCUUGGGUCGGAGAGGGAGGCGGAGCUUACCUAAGCGGUGGUAUAAAUGUUCAAUCCACUUUCGUUGAUGGAUACUGGUACUUGGAUCAGCUUGGCUUGGCCGCAGUUCACAGCCAUAAGGCCUACUGCAGACAAGCCAUUGUUGGUGGAAACUACGGCUUCCUCAAAAACGACGUCUUUACCCCUAACCCUGAUUACUAUGGGUACCUUAACAUUUCGAUAGUAUCUUCAUAGAUCUUUCAACCUUAUUUGAGCUUUAGACUCACUUUCACAUUCUGCAUUUUGAUAAUCAGUGCACUAUUAUGGCAUCGGUUGAUGGGGACCGGAGUUCUAGCAACCAGCCACAACGGAUCUCCAUUCCUUAGGGCAUAUUCACAUUGCUCUAAGAAGAAGGUAUUGAUAUCUAAAGCCAGUUUUUCAACAUUCAAAUAUCUGCGUCUAACCAUUAGAAAAAUCCUGACAAGACAUUGUUUCUGGGUUUUGCUUUCUUUUUGGGCAGUCUGGAGUUACUCUGAUGCUGAUCAACAUGUCGAAAACUUCGACAUUCCAUAUCAUGAUCACCGACGAAUUGAACAACCACCACAAGGAUUCUGAUUCAAGCCAUCUCAAAGAGGAAAGAGAGGAGUACCAUUUGACACCAGAAGGAGGAAAUAUCACGAGCGAUGUCGUUCUUCUGAACGGAGUUCCGUUGCAGCUUACAGCUUCCGGUGACAUCCCGGAAAUGCCUCCGAAGCUUGCCCCAGCUUCAUCUCCGGUGACAAUGGUUCCUGGCUCUUUUGUUUAUGUAUCCAUUAAGGAUUUCAAGGCCCCUGCCUGCUGAGAAAGACCAGAGCUUUUUGGUCUCUUUUUGGAUUUCUUGGUUCCUUAUAAAAGGUGGUAAAGAAAACUUGAUCUACAAGUUAACUUCCAUUUUGUAACCUAAGGUCUCUGAUGAGGUUAAUCUAAUGGAAUAGAAAAAUAUUCUUUAAUUAAUAUAUAUUAUUGUAUAAAAUUCAUUAAGCAUGCUUACAUUUGUUAUUUAUUGAGUAAUUAUCAAUGAUAAUGUUGGAUAAUCUUUUUCACUUAAAAACCUGAUAUCACUCAAGGUAACUAAAAAUCUUAUCCACCUGAUUCACUUUUACAUUCCGUUUCAACAAAGUCCGACAAAAUCAUAGGCUUAUCCAAAUAACAGAUUUCAUAGCAAACAAUAACAAUAAAAUCUCUUGCUGAGCUAUAUAUAUAUCCACUGUACACACACACUUAGUUUUCUUCAAUACUCUGUGUUUCCUUUUCUGAUUCUACAAUGGCAGCAGCUUUCAGAGCUUUCCUCGUCUACUCACUCUUCCGCUCGACCCUCUCAGUGCUAUGCUCCGCUGACACUUCUAGGAUCACCGUCACGAUACAGUCAGUGAACUCCAUAGCGAAAACCGACAAUGAUUUCAUCUGUGCAACUCUAGAUUGGUGGCCCAAGAACAAGUGUGACUACAACCAGUGCCCUUGGGGACAAACCAGCGCCCUGAAUCUGGUAUAUAUGCCGGCUGUUCAUUUCCUUUUCGGUUGUUCUUAAUUGGGUUUUCGGUUCUGAUUAAUGGGUUUUGGUUGAAAACAUAUUUCAGGAUCUGAAGAACACCAAUCUGGCAACAGCUAUCAAAGGUAGGUAGAAAGUUCAUUGCUUUGAAAGCUUCCUUCAUCAAAGCUGUGAUCUAAUUAAUGUUGGUUUGUAGCUUUCGAUCCGUUGAGGAUUCGGGUUGGGGGGUCGUUGGAGGAUCUGGUGGUUUACAAAGUUGGGAAAGCGAUCAAGAGAUUCCCAAAGUUUAAGAAGCUGAAAGGUGGGAUGUUUGGGUUCAGCAGAGGUACUCUCACCAUGGAUAGAUGGGAUCAGCUCAAUCAGCUUUUCACCAAAACAAAGUAAUUAAGUUCAUACUAAUAAUCCGACUGUUAGUUACCAAAAAUGACGAAUCAUAUUAAAUCUGACGGUUUUUUACGAUUUCGUUGUAGUGCCAAAGUCAUCUUUGGCCUCAAUGCUCUGGUUGGGAAAAGAAAGAAAGAUGAAUCUUCCACUCUCUGGAUCGGAGACUGGAACUCGCAGAAUGCUCGAGAUUUCAUGAACUAUACCGUUCAGAAGGGCUAUAAAAUCGACUCUUACGAACUCGGUAGUUCUCUGAAACGAUUCUUGUACAGAUCAGUUUUUUUCUUCUUGUACUAUCAAACCUCGAACCGUUUAACAUUACUUUUUUGUCAGGAAAUGAGCUGAGCGGCUCGGGGGUUUCUGCUCGGGUGGAACCUGAGCAGUAUGCAAAGGACACAAUCAAAGUCAGGAAAGCUGUAAAUGAAUUAUAUCCAGAUCCCAAUUCCAGGCCUUUAGUAUUGGGUCCUGCCGGAUUCUUCGAUAAGGAAUGGUUCAAGAAGUACCUUCAAGCUGUUGGACCGAACGUUGUCGAUGGCGUAACCCACCACAUUUACAAUCUCGGCGCAGGUAAAAACGUUACGUACCUUCAGGAAUUAGUAUCGGCCUAUCGGGUUCAUAUCAUUAAUUACUGUUUUGCAGGAGUGGAUUCCAAGCUGAUUAAUAAGGUUCAAGAUCCGUUCUUUCUCGACAAAGUGGCUCAGACGUUCAAGGAAGUUCAGGAUAUUGUCGAGCAAUCCGGAACCGCUGCAGCUCCGUGGGUCGGGGAAUCGGGUGGAGCUUUCAACAGCGGUGGAAAGGACGUUUCAAACACUUUCGCUAAUGGGUUCUGGUACUUGGAUCAGCUCGGUAUGACCUCGACUUUCGGCCACAAGGCUUACUGCAGACAAUCCCUUGUUGGUGGAAACUAUGGAUUGCUUAGGAGUGAUAGUUUCACUCCAAAUCCCGACUAUUAUGGGUAACACAAAAAAGAUUCCGUCUUUUUGUUUUGUUUUUAUCUCGUAACUGUUGCUCUGAAUGUUCGGAUCGUUUGCUUUGUGAUAGUGCACUUUUGUGGCAUCGGUUGAUGGGGACCAUAGUGUUGAGAACGAUCCAUGACGGGUCUCCAUACCUGCGGGCAUACUCACAUUGCUCCAAGAAAAAUGUAAAGUAUCUUCAGGAUUUCUGAUAAUCCAAAUCCGGACAGGAAUAUGAUUUCUGAUUAUCUACAUUUUUUUUUAAUUUGUGGCAGUUUGGAGUGACUUUGCUGCUGAUCAACAUGUCGAAUUCGACGACAUUCAACGUUUGGGUGACUAACGAUCUGAACCUUUACCGGACAACGACCGAUUCGACCAUUCUGACAGAGGAUAGGGAAGAGUACCAUCUGACACCUGAAGGUGGGAAUAUUCAGAGCGAUGUUGUGCAGCUGAACGGGACUCCAUUGAAGCUGAGUUGUGGUGAGAUUCCGAUGAUGGAUCCGAAGCUCGUACCGGCUUCGUCCACGGUGACUGUUGCUCCGGAUUCGUUCGUUUAUGUCAACAUCAAGGAUUUCAAGGCACCUGCUUGCUAGAAAAGAAACAGAAGAGGAUAUGCUUUUCUUUUAGUUUAGUAGUUAGGAAAAGCUCAGGAAAAAUUGUUAGAUUAGAUCUAAUCGGCUAUGUAAAGAAUAAUCAUGAUCCAAUUGAAAUCGAAAAAUUGUUAGAGAUUCAAUUCCAUUCUUUUGUGAUGUUGUUGUUUUGGUCUUCUUCUGAAAGUUGGGUAAAGGGCAACUGUGCGAAAAGUUGUGAUUUUAAAAAACCAAAGAAAACAUGUUGGUUUAGUGGAUCGGACAUGUGUUGGGUCUGGUUAGUGAACUUGUGCUUAUGUUCUUAGAUUAGUCGCUAUGCAUGGUUGAACCAUUCUAUCAUGGUUCGAACACAUAGUAAAAUAAGUUAAAAGCAAUAACGGUCACUUAAGUUUGGGUUAGGUGACAUUUUUGUCACUCAAUAUAAGGCAGGUAACAUUUUCGUCACUCUAGUUUGAGGUAGGUAACAUUUCAAUCACUUAACUUUUUGCUUAAGUUUGGGAUAGGUAACAUUUGAGUGACUUUAGUUUGAGGUAAGUAACAUGUCAUUCAACUUUUUGCUCAAAUUUGAGGUAAGUAAUAUUUUCGUCACUCAAUAUAAAGCAUGUAACAUUUCAGUCACUCUAGUUUGAGGUAGGUAACAUUUCAGUCACUCUAGUUUGAGGUAGAUAACAUUUCAGUCACUCAACUUUUUGGUCAAGUUUUACAUUUCAGUCACUCAAUAUAAGGCAGGUGACAUUUCAGCCACUAUAGUUUGAGAUAGGUAGCAUUUCAGUCACUAAACUUUGUUUCUCAACUUCUGUUACAUAUUCCACCCAAAAAGUUAAUGUGACUAAAAGACUCAAUUUCUGUGUUUAUUUCAUCAGACCGAAUAGGAUACAUGGUUGAACCGUCUUAUUAUAGUCGAUAAAAAUUCAACCCCGGCUUGGUAAAAAAAAUGAAAAAAAUCAUCACUAUUUCAUUUAGGAAGAAGAGAAAAAACCAUGCUAACCCUGUUGUUCAAUCAAUAGGAUACCUUACCAUUUCAGGAACCAGUUAAUGUCACACACCAAACAUUCCUGAAACUGAAACCAAAAGCUUUCCAGGCUUUUGCCUCCAUUCUAUCCAAAAACCCAAAGGGCAAAGAAAAUGCUUUCUUUACUUGCUAGUUGAACCUAAUCCAUCCUUUAUGAAAUGUUUUCAGGCUCCAUCUUCAAAUAACCGAACCCCUUCCGUUAGAAAUCGACAGACAAUAAACGGAAUAAGAAAAAAACCACCAUCUCUUUUCGCAACAAAAUCGAUAAAAGAUUGUUUACAAUUCCAUGGGGAUUGAGCAAGCCAUUGCAGUAGCUGCAGCUGCAUUAGCCAUUUCUGUUAUUGAAGAAGUACAAGAAGAGGCAUGGAUUCCGGUUCCAGAGCCAAAAAGGACAUUGCAGGAAGCAGCAUCUCAUCAAUCCUCUGCCACCAAGAGUCAAGGUAUGCAAGGUGGUUUCCAAUCAAGUUCUGGAUCAAUAAGGUAUGUGGAAGGGGCCUCAUCAGAUAGCAAUGGAGAUGAUGGAACAACACCCCGAAAGGUCCUUGUUCCGAUUUCUUCGAUGGCUAGGACUGAUAAUCCUGCUGCAGCAGCAAUGAAGAAAGAUCCAAGCUUUAAUGAAACCCCUACUGUUUCAUCUAUAAAGAAGACACCUUCAUUUGUGGAUAAAACUGUUCCUAAUUCCAUGCCAACUUCCACCAAAGCUGGGAUUCCAUUGAAGAGACCUGAAGCUUCUUCUACUGCAAAACCUGCUGCAACUGGUAAGCCAGCUGGAACCCCAGUAUCUUCUUCCCAAGCAGCAGAUGCAUGGGAGAAAAUGCAGCUGGAGAAGCUGAAAGCGAAGUAUAAGCAGCAGACUGAUCACAUCAUUUCGUGGGAGGACGGGAGGAAGGCUAAAGCAAGGCGUCGACUCGACAGAGCUGAGGUUUGUUUUCUCCAUUACAUCCAAAUAAUUCGAACUAACAGAUUGUCUGAUAACAUGCUUGUUUCUUCUUCGUGUUGGAUGAACUUUUGGGCAGAGUGAAAUGGAGAGGAGCAGGCUGAGAGCAUUGGACAAGUUUCGGGGGGACAUGGAGAUAGUGAAUAAGAUUGCAGGAGGAGCAAAGGCGAAGACAGCUGAGAGGAUGAAGAAGGAAGAGGUUAAAUUGAAGGAGAAAGCUGAUGCUAUCAGAAGAACAAGUGGCAAAUUCCCAGCAAGAAGGCCUUGUUUAUGCAUCUGAUCAUAUUAUGUUUGACUAAUAAUCUGUUGUAAUAUAAUGUUUGUAGCACUUUGUUGUGUUCAGGAAAUGUGUAUGCAUCUGAACAUCCGAAAUUAACUCCAAAUCCUGCCAAAUUCACCUCCAAUUCCGACUUCGAAAACGUAUCCUAUGUCUAUAAUCAGUUCGAAAUGCCAGAUCCAGUAAUGAAAUGAAGAUAAACACCCUUCUGCAUAUAUAUAAUUAAGAACACUCCGACAGAUAAACCAGACACAAAUUACAUUACUACAACAGCAACAACACACCGAUCAUAAAGUUAAUUAAACUCCACAUAAUCCAUACUUAUAUUCCCCCACCAAUCCACCAUACACCUUAAUUAAUUAAGUUAUUAAUCACUUGAAGAACCCUUCAGCCAUCUUAGCAUACCCGCCAAGCCCACCUCCUUCAGAUUUCUCCUCCUUACCGGCGGCGCCUUCCUCGGCCGGCUUGCCGGCUCCCUCAGCGGUCUUCGAACCGCCGCUGUACUGACGGAGAUAUUCCUCCGCCUUGUCGACGUACUGGCCAUAGCCCUUCUCGUCCAGCUUCCCGUACUUGUUGCCGGCCUCGAUCAGGUCCUCCGCCGCGUCGGCCACCUUGGCCUUGUCUAUGCCGUCGGCCGAUUUGCUCUGCAUCGCCGACUGGGCAGCUGCCGCCACCACUUUUGCGCUCGCCAUCAGCUCCGCGUUCGACGGCGCCGCUACCUCUUCCUUCUUGUCGCCGGCCGGGGCCGGGGUCGGUGCUGAGGGGUGUUCAGUUUCCUUGUCGCCACCGGUGGCUCCGGGGAGCUUGGACUCGGCUGCCUUGGUGAUGGAGGAAAGUAGGCCGUCCAUAAUUAAUUCUAGAUGCCAAAGGAGAAAGAAAUUAAAGCAGAGAGAUUUGUGGGAAGUGACUGAGUGAUUGGAGAUUGGAGGAUACGGUGGUUUAUAUAAUGCUUAGGAUAUUUUUGGAUAUCUUGAUUUUUUUUUAUAAAUACGCGAGAUGGACACGUAUUACUUGUGAUAUACGUGUGUACUUGUAUUUUAUACAGUAAUAUACGUGUUGUUUGAGUCUAAAACCUCUCGACGAAUUAAAUCGCUCAUGAAUAGUUGUAUUUGAUGUGAAAUUUUUUUGUUCAUGAUGAGUCGGGUAUGUUUAAUCAAAUAGGUUUGAGUUCGAACAGAAAUAAUUUUGGAUAUAUGCUUUGUUAAUAAAUUUAAUAAUGUAAUGUAUGUUUGCCUCGAAUAUUAUAUAUAUAUAUAUAUAAUUUAUUAUUAUGUNNNNNNNNNNNNNNNNNNNNNNNNNNNNNNNNNNNNNNNNNNNNNNNNNNNNNNNNNNNNNNNNNNNNNUCGAUCGAUUCGUGAUCAGCCCGGCUAAUCACAAAAAAAGCUAUACCAUUUUUACAAAUUAAAAAAAACUAUUAUAUUAGUUAAUAUUGGAGUAGGGAGUGUUUGGCAGGAGUAAGAGUUGCGACGUGGAAGAAUGAUGGCCACAAGAAGUUUAGAAAGGUGGUGACUAUUGAGUAUAAAAGUAUUAUCUUCCUGCUGUUCCAAUAUCUAGAUAUCUUUAUGACAAAAAAUGGGACCAGAAAACACGAUAAUUGUUUUUAUUUGCCGACAAUAACUCUCCAAGUACUCAACUCCGUGAUUAAUACACACCAAUUCAAUUAUAUUUUAAGAAGUUAAUUUGAUGUGCCAAUUAUCGAUACAAAAAAGAGACAUUCUGGUGCACAGUAGAAACUAUUCAGGUGGUUUGUUUAGUUUUGUAAAGAAAUUAUUAUGAACAAAUUCAUGGUUAGAUCCCUUAUGGAUAGUGGAUAGAUCAUUGAGAUUUUUGAAAGAGAAUUUGCAUCAUGUUCCGUGAGUAAUACACAUCGAUAUUUAUCAAUAUAAAAUAAAAAAAUAGAAAGUAAACAUUAUAUUGGUGUUUAUUUUGUGAAUUGUGUUGGAUUAGAAUUAAAAACUUUUAAAUUAUCACACACAUAAUUUUACCAUCAGAAUAAUUCCACUUCAAUACAUUGUAGUUGUUACGGUAAGGUUAAGUAAAAAUGAAAACCAAACUCUUAAUUUUAAUUUAAUCAUAUAGUUAAAGAAUUUCCAAAUAAGAAUAUGAACAAAAAUGUAAACAUCUAAUUCUAGCUAUUAUUCAAUUCCCAAAGCCACGUUACACAACAACACCAUCACAUGACUAACCACAAACAUAAACAGAAAAGAACCAGAUAGAAAAACAACAAGUACAACUGCAACAUAAUUAAUUAACACGCAGAUUUUUCAGCGGCGGGGAAUUAAACUAAAAUAAAAAAACAUGCAUAAUUAUUUUCAAUUUUCAUCCAUUUACUUCUUGGCAGUGGCGUUGUGGAUGGCCUGCUUCCCCUGCUCGACGUAGUGGGUGGUGCCGGCGACGACUGUGUCCUUAACGCCGAUCGCCCCCUCCUUGGUGUUGGCCACGAUCCCCGGGCCGGCCGGUGCAACCACGGCUGGCUUCUUCUCCUCGGCCUUGCCGCCGCCGGGCAUCAUGUCUUGGGCUUUCUUCAAUAGUCCGUCCAUAUCUAGUUAUAAACAAGUAGGAUUCAAAGAGAUGGGAAAUUGGUACGUAAGAGAUUUUAGUGUGUUUUGAUGGGUUUCAUGGGAUAUAUGGUACGUACUAGUUAUAUAGUGGUACAAAUUUUGGGAAGUUUGGAAGAUAUUUUGAUUGGCUUUUGCUGUGUGUGGCUUACAAUUGGCUUGCCGACAUCGAAAUGAACAGGUUCUACGUGAUAGUCUUUACA